rnacentral:lncRNA from 1 species
GUGUAGCCAUGAAUAAAAAUGUGUAACAGUGAAAUGAAUAUCGUAUGUAAUACCGAUGAACGAUGAUGGUGGGUGUUGUGACCCGGUGUUUGCCGGGUUCGUCCGUCGUAUUGUGUCUGUGCAAAAGAGAAAAUAAAAGACAGUUAGUUGGUUAAUCUUUGCUGUGAAAAUAAAAGACAGUCUGAUAGAAGCUUUGAUGAUCCAUUUUGUUUGGCUUUCCUGCCACUGUUGUGGCAUAAUUUCAGAUAUGGUAAUUUCAGAUCAGGAGAUUUUUCUGCUGUUAAAAAAUUCAAACAGGAAGGCCAAAAAAAAAAGAUUUGGGAGUCUGUCAGACAACCUCCUCUGGGCCACCCUGCACAGGUGUGAGCCAGGCAGGAACGAUCCUCUACAGCCGUCGGAUUGCCUCCAUCAGAGGAAUCCUGGACGUUAAUCACGCUCUGGCCCAGAGGGCAGAGGUCAUCAACCAGACUGAAGUGCUUGCCUCCUUAUUGGUAAAGGAUGCAGCGGUACGAGCCUAUAGAACAGAUCCUGUUCAAGUAAGGUCGUGCUACGAGCUGCAGCGCCUCGCCUUAUAAACCGGUGCCGCUCCCCGCGAACUAGCGAGGUGGGACUAAUGUAAAGGAGCGCGCAGCAGCGCAGCGCAUCGCCUCCUCUCGGUCGCAGGCUCGCAGCUUAGGACUCGUGGGGUGCUGGGCCAUGUGGUUGGGCUGAAGAGGACACGCGGCGCGGCCCAUCUGAGUGAGAUAAUACUUGUCCUGUACGGCUUUUCUUUCCUGUGAUUUUGAAUUUCUUUUUCCUUUCCUGUAUCGCAGUUGCAUCAGAUUUGCAUUUACACCUAAAAAAAACAGUUUUUCAUUUUUCUUCCCUGUGAUGUUUAUUUUUUGUCAACCUGCGAACACUAAGUUGUUUUCGCAAUAUACUCGUAUUUUCUUGUUAGUUCAUCCAUUACUAUUAAAUAUUAUAUAAUGAAAACACCCAUGCGGCAUUUUCUGGAAUACAAUUAAAAGCGUCCACGGAAAAAUCCCACAGAUAUUUAUCCAAUAAAAAAAAGAGUUCCGUACACAAUCAAGUAAAGAAAAGUCGUUAAUUACUUGUCACAAAAAUGGAUGUAUCUACAACUAAAAUACAUCUAGAUACAUAUAUUUCUUGGACGAGUAGUUCCGAACGGAGGGAGUACCUUUGUUGUGCACUUUUGUUGCAUUUCCAGCGCUCAUUUUCGAAGUAUUGUCCAACCUCGGCUCAGCCUCACCUUCUUGCUGCAUGUUCAUCAGGGAAUAAUCACUGAACUUGCUGACCCUUGCAUAAAAAACCAACAGACAAUCUAGAAAAACAGCCACCUGCUCUUCCCUUCUCCAUUCUCAACUUGCCUUUUCUCCCCGCGGGCAGAAGGCAUAGACAAGCUUAUCCUUGGGUUUCAACACCAUGCAUGGAUAUCACACACAGGAAAAGGUUGGUGCUGCUAUUAAACAGGUGCAUCGCUAUUUCUGUACAGUUAAUAAUUCAGUAAUGGAGCUGUCACUCACAUAACUCACCAAAUGUGGAUAGACAUAGUUGAUCCGCAAGUAGUUGGCAAGCAGUUGAUCUUCUCUUUUCUAUUCAUUCCCAGUUGGCAGCAACUGACCAUGCACUGCCAUACUGCUAUGUACUCCCUCUGUUCGGAAUUACUCGUCGAAGAAAUGAAUGUACCUAGAUGUAUUUUAGUCGUAGAUACAUUCAUUUUUAUGACAAUUAAUUCCGAACGGAGGAAGUACUUAUGUAUACCUGGAUCAUAUGAACACACACUGGAACCAACCAAUGUUUUUACCAAUGCUGUUUGCGGUAUGACGCGUCCCGGCUCAAGAUUAAGCCGAACAUAUAGAUGUGCAAGGAGGGUGCAGCCAUGGUUGGUGUCGAUCGAGCGGGCCAAGGAGGGUGCAGCAUGAACUGAAUCUGUCCUGCGUGGGUGUAGCCAUGAAUAAAAAUGUGUAACAGUGAAAUGAAUAUCGUAUGUAAUACCGAUGAUGGUGGGUGUUGUGAGCCGGUGUGGCUGGGUUCGUGAGGGUCUGCAAAAGAGAUAAUAAAAGGCAAAAUGUGAUGGUUAAUCUUGCUGUGUUCCGUUGUUCAGACGAUAAUUUCAGAUGUGCUAUAGACCGUUUAAUCUUUCAUAAUCAAAACUGCAGCUAAUUUGCAGUUGUUUUACUAGAUCUGGAGAUUUUUCUGCAGCUAAAAUGUCAUCAAGGAAGCAAAAAAAAUUGACCUCUGGGCCACCCUGGACGGGCAGGAACGAUCCUCUACUGCCUGCCUUCAUGUUUAAAUUUGAUGAAACUUGAAAUGGGGAUGAUCAAACCCUAGCACCAAAUGGAUUUCAAAUAGGUUCAACUUAGAACAUUUUUGAAUGAAUCCAAAAUGCCCUUAAAAAAUGUUCAUGAUUUAGGGAAAAAUGUGAAAACCUUAACCAGAGAUGAUGCACAUUUUUUCAUGGCAUUUAUGGCCUUUGAAUUAAUGAAUAUUCUAUUUGAGUUGGAGCAAAUAAUAUUUAUAAAUAAUUUUAUGGCUCCAAAUAUUUCGCAAUUAUUUGAGGGCCUCUAAAAUAAUUCAGUUGAUGCCCACAAUAAAUUGUGGAAUCAACAAAAAUGGUUUACCAUUUUUACUAAAUCAAAACAGAGGCAAAAUAAAUAGAAAAUAGAAAAAAGGGAAAAGGGAAAUAACUUGGCGGCCUGGCACUAUGCAACCCAUCUGGCUGAAGUGCGAGUCGUCCCUAACCUCUGGCCAGACCGGGGCAACACCUGGAUACGCCAUCGAAUUCCAGACAUCGGAGGAGGAAACCAUACCUACCAUCCACGUACCAUAAACUCAACAAACGAUCCAUUAUCUUCCAUAUGCCGUCGAUGCGGACCAUAAUCUGCAUCCACUCCUGAAAUACAUCCCAAGUCCCGCGCCAACGCUGGAGCAAAUGUCGUCGCAAUGACGGAGCCCGAGGACACAGGUCUACCCCGAGCAGCCGUCGUCGCCGCACCAUCUUUGCUUGAACAGACUGGAUUCCUAAUCCAUCCUCAACCAUAGGACCGGUUGCCUCGUCAGAGUAGGAUCUGAAGAGACUAUUCAGGGUCGUCAUCACCGCUGCCGAAGCCAAGAUAAUGAACAAUCCAAAACUAAACUACUUUGGACUAAAACUAUCCACAAGCGUGGAUCCGACGCCCCUCCCCCCUCUCCCCCCCCUCCCCCUACCACAGAAGGGGAGUCGCCGGAGGACGACGGCGAAAGAGGACGCUCUGGGCGGCUGCAUGUGGACGCCCUUUCUUUCUUUCUUCGCGGGGAAGGAAGAAAAUCCCUUGUAAAGGUCGCUGGUCUACCUCGCCUUUGAGAGCAACCCAUGUUCAAACUAUUAGAUUGCCGAUACCUAGUGGUGUCCAAACUAUUAGAUUGCUGAUACCUAGUCAAAAAGUAUUCCAUGGCGAUUGAUUAUCGUAAUCAAUCUUACACGUUGAAAUAAUGUUUUGAAAUAACAUAAUCUAUCUGGGUUGCGGCGCGAACCUAAAAACCUAAUUAUUUUGCAAAGAGUGGUGGUGAAUUUCUGUAAUAUUACUUGGAACAUGUAUUUUCUUUUGCGGAAAAACAUUCGAUCUAUUCAUCUUCAGUUAUGGGAGUACAACGAACACCAAAAAUAAUAAAAAUUAAACCCGGAUUCAUAAACCACCUAGCGACGACUACAAGCACUGAAACUUGCUGAAGGUGGCGCGCCACCGUCAUCGGCCCUCCUUCACCGGAGCUGGGGCAAAACUUGUUGUAGUAGACAGUCGGGAAGUCGUCAUGCUAAGACCACAUAUGACUAGCGCACCAGAACGGCAACCGCCGUUGAUGAAUUGUAGCGUAGAUCGGAAGAAUUCAACCUGAAACACACGAAUGUAGACGAACGAUGAACAAAUAAAUCCAGCAAGAAUAGAUUUGCCGGAGACACACCUCCACACGCCCACUGAUGAUGACGAUGCUAGAUGCACCGCCAGAACGGUGGCUAGGCAGAGAGAAUCUUGUUCCAUCUUUAGGGAGCCACCACUGUCUCGCCUUCCUGAACAGGACACAAGCCCUAACAAAUCUUGAAAACACAUCUAAAAACCAAGACCUCCCACCGGCAAUGGUCAGAAUCCACCACGCCCUCAUGGCCUAAGACCAUCGAAGACGAGGCCGGCCGGCGAAGGCGCUAGCGAGAGGCAGAAAAACCCUGAUCAAGGAUGAGCCGGCUUGGUUAGGAGCGUCCCCCGUCAGCCCAAAGUCGGCUGCCUUGCUCGUGGUCUCAUUACUUAGGUCCUGUCAUUAGCCUAGACGAGUGAAUUUGGCAACUGUUUUUUUAGAAUAAUUAGGCAACUGGUGUGUUCAUUCAUAAUUGAUGACUGAAACUCUGCACCGUGACACCGCCAUGGUACGACCAGGCCUGGAUACCGAGCCCACCGGCUGUGGCGGCUCACGAGCGCGUCGGCUAAGGCCGUGGGCCAGCGGACGAACACCCGGGCCCAGUCUGGGAAUAAACAGACGCAACGCGUGGAACGUUUAGCCCCACAUCGCUCGGCUAGCAACGUCUUACGCGGGUUAAAUAGACUUUUUUCCCUCUUUUUGUAUUUUCUUUUAAAUUUUGCAGGUUGUGCAACAGGUGAACAUGUAAAGUCUAAACUAAAGAUAAACUAAAUUUUUACCAUUUCCUAACAUUUUUCUUUUUCUUUUAUUAGUAUUUUCACUAUCCUAAUCUUUUUUCCGUUUUUACCACUCUAAGGCUCAUACUCUAAUGUUUUGCACGUUGUGCAGUAGAUGCACAUGUAAAGUCUAAACUAAAAAAUGAAAACUAAAAAUAAACUAAUAAAAGAAUGUUAGUGGCCAGCCGAGUUGAGAAAAAAUGUAUCCAAGAAAUGAUUUUUUUUUUUGCGGGAAUACCUGAGAAUCUACUUCUUCUUUUCAGUACUCGUUUAUUUUGCUAGUUCGUACUACUAUUUUUCUUUACUCCGAGAGGAACAUGGUAAAUAACAACACCCAACCAUUACUUACAAACGUACUGCCCAUGUAGCAUUUUCAGAAAUGCAAUUAAAACUGGUCCAAGGAAAAAUCCUUACAGUUAUUAAUAAUAAUAAUAAAUUUAAAAAGUGGCCAGUACACUGCCAGAUGAGUGGCAAAAAAAGGUGCUACACUAGAAGAAAAAACUCAAGAAAAAUGAGUUUCAUGCAUAAUCAAGAAAAGGGAAAAAGGUGAUAUAUGACAGCACUCAGAGCUACUCCCUCCGUCCCAUAAUAUAAGUCUUACAUUAUGGGACGAGGGAGUACUUCUGUUGCAUUUGCAGCCCACUUUAAUUGGUGAAGCAUCAUCAUCCCUCCUUGGCUCAGAUUCUUGCCGCGCCUUCAGGCUCACACUCUGGCUGAUUCAAAGGGGAUGAGCACUGAGCAUCACUUUCCCUUGGAAAAUUCCUUGUACGGUGAGAUACCUCCCAGCAUUGGCUUCCUCCGCCGCCUCAGGUACCUUGCCCUGAAAGGGAACAUGAUCACCGAUACAAUCCCAAGCAACAUUAGCCGCCGCACCAGCCUCAGGAGGGUGAAAAUUUCUGACAACGGGUUGCAAGGAAGGACACCUUCUGAGAUCGGCGACAUGCCGUCGCUGCGUGUUAUACAGCUCUACAACAACAGCCUCACCAGGAGGACCAUCCCGUCGUCACUCGGGAACCUCUCCUGGAUGACCACCUUGUCCCUGGCAGCUAACCACCUCGACGGAUCAAUCCCCGAGGGCAUCGGGAACAAUGCACAUCUCGAGUUCCUUCCUGGCCAUGAACAACCUCUCAGAUCUGCUUCCUCUUUCGCUGUACAACCUGCUCUCUCUCUCUCCUCCAUUCUGAACUUGACUUUCGCUGCACAAGGCGUAGAAAAGGCUUAUCCUUGGCUCCCAUCAGGCAGUUAUGGCUGUCCAUUCAUUACGUGCCACCGCGCCUUGAUGGAUCGCCGGGACCGGACCUCCUUGGGGUUUCAACAUCAUGGAUGCAUGUGGGUUGUGGGAGCAUGGGACCAGGUGCAGCUCCAAUUAAUCAGGGUCAGCAAGUCAGAAUUCGGUCUGCUGUCACAAACAGGAAAAGGUUGGCGCUGCAAUUUCAAUCUGCUGGCCCUCCCGGAACCGGACGGUCACAGAAUUGACAUCAGAUUACCUGGAAAUCUGGUGUUCUCUUGCACAACUAGAUUUUCCAGUGAAGCGGCGUGCUGCGAGCCAACUGCCUUCUUCCUUCCUAAACAGCGUCGCUAUUUCUGUAGAAGCCUGAAACUUAGGGGGUGCAGAUAAUAACAGUCAAUAAUUCAGUAAUGGAGCUGACACUCACAGAACUCACCAAAUGUGGAUAGAUGAUCUUCAAGUAGUUGGCGAAAUCAUUUGCUGAAGGUGGCCUCAUUAUUGGUGCUGUCGGAGCACAUGGAGUAUUCCGCGCCGCUAAUCUUCAAAGUUAUUUCGCUGCACUCCCAGCCCCCUCUCUUGAAGCGCUAUCCCUCCUUGGCUCAGCUUCAGGCUCACUGCUGAUUCAAAGGGGAUGAAUGAGCACUGAACUUCCCUUCUUCCUAAAAAAAAAAAAUUCAAACACACAGCCUACAAAACAGCCAUCCUGUUCCUUCCUUCUUCAUCCUGAACUUCCGUUUUCUUCUUACAUAAGGCAUAUAAAAACUUACCCUUGGUUCCCAUCAGGCAGUUUUGAUUGUUUAUACAUUGCGCCGCGCCUUGAUGAAUCGCUGGGACCUCUUGGAUUUCAGCAUCAUGGAUGCAUGCGAGUCUGGGGCCAGGUGCAGCUCGGCAGCAAAUUAAUCAGGGCCAACCAGUCCAGCACACCACGGUUUCAUCAAAGGUCUGGGGUCACCAACAGGAAGAUGUCGGUGUUGCUAUUAUUUUAAUCUGGAUAAAAGAUCUUGCGGACACCGUGCGCGUGCGGACUCCGUAUUUGGAAGGGCAGAUAUGCAGCUCCGAUGAUCUGUGCCAAGCAAAGGAGGAGAGAGCGAAAAGAACCGUCUGCAAAGACUCAACACAGGGCAGCAGACCAUGCGGUGGAGGGGUACGGCGCUGCCACGGUGCCUCGUCGGAAUCAGAUGGCUUGUGCUUCUCCUGCUCUCCACCAUGGGGGCGACGCGCGCACACGACAGCGAUGAGAGAGCUCUCCAAGCUUUCAAGGAAAGGAUUUCAGACCAUUCCGGGGCGCUGGCCUCCUGGAACCGGAGCAUCAGCUACUGCACCUGGGAGGGCGUCACGUGCAGCCGGCGGCACGGGUCGAGGGUGGUCGCUCUGGACCUCAACUCCCAGGGGCUCGCCGGCACCAUCUCCCCCUCCAUCGGCAACCUCACUUUCCUCCGGAGGCUCAACUUGAGCCUGAAUCCCUUGCACGGCAAGAUUCCUCCCAGCAUCGGCUCCCUCCGCCGCCUCAAGUACCUUGGACUGCGAGGGAACAUGCUCACUGGUGCGAUCCCAAGCAACAUUAGCCGCUGCACCAACCUCAGGGUGAUGAUAAUUGCUGACAACAAGGGGUUGCAAGGAAGCAUACCUUCUGAGAUCGGCAACAUGAUGCAAUCGCUGCGUGUUGUACACCUAUACAACAACAGCCUCACUGGGACCAUCCCCUCAUCACUUGGGAACCUCUCACAGGUGACCAUCUUGUCCCUGGCAGCGAACCAUCUCGAGGGAUCAAUCCCCGAGGGCAUCGGGAACAAUGCACAUCUCAAGUUCCUUCAGCUGGCCAUGAAUAACUUCUCAGGUUUGCUUCCUCUUUCGCUGUACAAUCAGUCAUCUCUGUACAUGUUUUUUGUGACGGACAACUACCUGCACGGCCGUCUACCAGCUGAUCUGGGAAGAAGCCUUCCUAGCUUACAACAGUUUGGAUUUGGGAAUAACCGAUUCACUGGAGUUGUGCCUCCAUCACUGACUAAUAUCUCCAGACUCGAGCUUUUUGAUGUUGCAAAUAACGGAUUCAGUGGGGUUGUCCCUUCAGACUUGGGAAAUUUGCAGUAUCUUAGAUGGUUUAAUCUGGUUGGAAACAAGUUUGAGGCAAACAAUGAACAAGAAUGGCGCUUCUUUACUUCUUUGACAAACUGUAGCAGGUUGCAGCUGUUAAAUAUAGAACAAAACAGGUUCUCGGGGCAAUUACCAACCUCAUUGUCUAACUUGUCCACAAACAUCCGAGAGCUAGAUAUUUUUAACAACAAUAUAUCUGGUACUAUUCCAUCGGAUAUUGGAAAUUUGAUAGGUCUUGAGGUGCUUAUUCUUGCUGGCAACUUGCUCACUGGGGCCAUUCCUGAGACCAUAGGGAAGCUUAUACGAUUGAAGAAGCUACAUCUGAGUUCCAACAACUUAUCAGGAUUCAUCCCCUCUUCCAUCGGAAACCUCACUGGUCUUUAUAGGCUUGGUGCAAGCUUCAACAGCUUGGAGGGACCGAUUCCAUCAAGCAUUGGAAAUUUGACCAAACUUUCAUCAUUAGAUAUAUCGACGAACCAUCUUUCUAGCUCAAUUCCAAAGGAAAUUACGCAACUAUCAUCCAUCUCAAUUUAUUUGGCCUUGUCUUACAACUUGCUGGAGGGACCUCUACCUUCAGAAAUUGGCAAUUUGGUAAAUCUCGAACAGCUUAUUCUAUCAGGGAACCAGUUGUCUGGUAAAAUACCUGCAACCAUUGGUGGCUGCGUAGUCCUGGAAACCCUCUUGAUGGAUGGCAAUUCAUUCCAAGGAAACAUCCCUCCCACUUUGAAGAACAUCAAAGGGCUUACUGUACUGAAUUUGACAAACAACAAACUGAACGGCAGCAUCCCAGGGGAACUGAGCAAUAUUACCAGCUUGCAGGAACUGUAUCUUGCACAUAAUGAUCUGUCAGGGUCAAUCCCUGAACUCCUGGGUUAUUCAACAUCGCUGCUCCACCUCGACAUAUCGUUCAACAGUUUACAAGGUGAGGUACCAAAAGAAGGGAUUUUCAGGAAUUUAACUGGACUAUCAAUUUUUGGAAACAAUGAGUUAUGUGGUGGAAUACCACAGCUUCAACUGCCAAAAUGCCCAAGCUCCAAGAAAGGCUUGCCGAAGUCCAUGAGAAUAGCUGUCCCUACAGCAGUUGGUACCCUCGUCUUAUUUGUAGCUCUUGCUUUAGCUGGAUUUCUGUACAGAAAAUUUAAGUCAGGAUUGAGGAAAGAACAACUGUCACCUCAGAAGAUCAUGAUUGACCUUCCAAUGGUUUCAUACAACGACAUACUCAAAGCAACGGACGGGUUUUCAGAAGCCAAUCUGCUCGGGAAGGGAAGAUACGGUACUGUAUACAAAGGCACUAUAGAAAAUUUUGCUGCAGCUGUGAAGGUGUUUAAUCUGCAGCAAUCUGGAUCCUACAAGAGCUUCCUGGAUGAAUGUGAGGCACUAAGAAGAGUUAGGCACCGUUGCCUUGUAAAGAUAAUCACAUGUUGUUCAAGCAUCAACCACCAAGGCCAAGACUUCAGAGCGCUAGUCUUCGAGCUCAUGCCCAAUUUCAGCUUAGACCGCUGGAUCCACCCAGAUAUUGAAAGCCAAAACAGAAUGGGAACACUCAGCUUGUCACAGAGGUUAAAUAUCGCCGUUGACCUCGUGGAUGCUAUAGACUAUCUUCACAAUGGUUGCCAACCUUCCAUCAUCCAUUGCGAUCUCAAGCCAAGCAACAUUCUUCUCACAGAGGACAUGAGGGCUCGUGUUGGGGAUUUUGGCAUUGCUAGAAUUCUAAAAGAAGCUGCAAGCGAAGCUUCUGCAAGUUCCCUUAGCUCCAUGGGAAUAAGAGGAUCCAUUGGAUAUGUUGCUCCAGGUAACUGAAUAUGCUCCCCCUAUGCUUGAAAUGAUCACAUUUAAUUAGAUAUAUGCUUUUUAAGGCUUAAUUAGAUACAGUAUAUGUUUAUGAAAUAACUUCUGUGCAUACCUGUUUAUACCCCGAAUUGUUUCAAUCCAUUGUAGAAUAUGGAGAAGGGCUUCCGGUAUCUACUUAUGGUGAUGUGUACAGCCUUGGGAUCACCUUGAUCGAGAUGUUUACUGGAAGGUGUCCGACAGACGACAUGUUCAGAGAUGGGCUAACCCUGCAAUGCUUUGCAGAGGCAGCAGGUCUUCCUGGGAAUGUCAUGGUGAUAGCAGACUCCAACAUCCGGCUGCAUGAUGAAGCAAACAAUAGCGCUGACGCAGAACAUAUAACCAGAGCCAAGGAAUGUUUGGCUGCCAUCAUCCAGCUUGGCAUCCUAUGCUCAAAGCAAUUGCCAAGAGAAAGGAUGUCAACAAGUGAUGCUGCUGCAGAGAUGCAUGCUAUCAGAGAUGCCUACAUCAGUAAUCAGAGAUGAAUUGCUGUCAAAUCAUAUAAACAAACCACUACCACAUGCCGAUUGGGUCCUCUGAAUUUAUUCUUGAAUCUGCAGUAUAUUGUGAUGUAAAAUAUCAGCUGGUACUGUAUUGUUCACUCUAUAUGCAUUAACAUUUGUGACAACAUUUCGUGUGGCCUUGGGUGUAAAUAAGACACAUAUGUUCUCCAUCAGUUUAUUCAGUCAACCCUUACCUGAAUCAAUCAGCCUCUAACUGUGAGAGACUGCUCAUGAUUUAAUAUUUGUUUUUUAUGGGUGCAUUUUGUUUCUAGGCUACAUGGUUAUGAGUUCUGACAUUGAGAAUGCUCCAUUUUCCUCCACAUUCUUAUGCAUAAUAACUCCAUGCUUAUUGGGCUUGUAAUUCGUAUGGCAGAGCAAAAACAUUUGAGUUUCUUUACUACCUUGUUGAACAUUUAUUGUCCUGUCAGUUCAUAUUCCAUAUAACACCCUUCUUGAGUCAGCAAAAGAAUAUUUACUAAGUUGUGACUUAGAAAUCACUGUGCGUGUAGUUGAUAAAUGAGUAAGAGCUAGAUUGCUAAGCAUAAGAAUGAAAAAAAAAUAUGAUGCUGAACUAUGUUAAAGAUACCACUACUGUACCUAACUCCCUCCUGGUGAAAAACUCGUGGUCCAAAAGUACCAAAAAAGAAUGAUACAUAUGUCAUUGUUUGCUUGUGUAGCAAUGUCGAAUGUGCGGCUGUCAACAUCUUCAUACUUGGACCAGCAGACCUUGUACACGGAAAUGGCAAGGUCCAGCCAGGGCUUGUAAUGACGGUAUGUGCAUUCUCAAUUUCAGCAAUGUCAACAGCUGGAUCAUAUAGCCAUGCCAAGUGCUUUCCAAUGGAUUUGUCAAACUGUAGAAGGUAAUUGGCCCUGGAGGCAAUGUGCCCAACUUCCACAACUUUUGCUACAUGACUCGGCUCUUCAAAGUUACUUUCAUUGCAUUUCCAGCCCGCUUUGUUGAAGCAUCAUUGUCCCUCGUUGGCUCAGAUUCUUGCUGCAGCUUCAGGCUCAGGGCUGAUUCAAAGGAGUCCCUUUUUCUUAAAAAAAUAAAUCCAACACACUCUAGAAAAAGAGACACCUGUUCUUUUCUUCUUACAGAAGGGCAUAGAAAAAUUUAUCCUUGGUUCCUACCUGAUUAUUUUAUUCACUGCGGCUUACCUUGAUGGAUGGAUCACUGGGACCUCCAUGGAUUUCAGCAUCAUGGAUGCAUGGGACCAGGUCAAUUUAGCAGCACUUAAUCUGGUCAACAAAGGUGCAGGAGUGGUCAAAUUCAGUCUGAGGUCACUAACAGGAAAAUGUUGGUGCUGCUACUAUUUUACUCUGAAGAAAGGCUUUCUGGACACCGUACCAACUCCGCAUUUGGAAAAGCAGAUCAUGUUGUACCUCAGAUGAAUUAUACCAAGGAAAGGAGUAGAGAGCGAAAAUAACCACACGAACAACCAACACAUCACAGCAGGCCAUGUGGUGGAGGGGUACGCUGCUGCCACGGCACCUUAUGGUGAUGUGUACAGCCUCGGGAUCACCUUGAUCGAGAUGUUUACAGGAAGGUGCCCGACAGAUGAUAUGUUCAGAGAUGGGUUUAACCCUGCAAUACUUCGCAGAUGCAGCACAUCUAUCUGGGAAUGCCAUGGAGAUAGCAGACUCCAACAUCUGGCAGCAUGAUGAAGCAAACAAUAGCGCUGAUGCAGAACAUAUAACCAGAGCCAGGGAAUGUCUGGCUGCCAUAAUCCAGCUUGGCAUCCUAUGCUCAAAGCAAUUGCAAGACAAAGGAUGUCAACAAGUGAUGCUGCUGCAGAGAUGCAUGCCAUCAGAGAUGCCUACCUCAGUAAUCAGUGAUUAGUUGAUGCCAGAUCAUAUGAACAAACCACUACCAUAUGCCAAUUAGCAAGGUUUCUCUGAAUUUAUUCUUGAAUCUGUAGUAUUUUGUGAUUUAAACUAUGAGCUGGAACUGUAUUAACCAACAAAAAAUUUCACUACCAGAUGAGGUGAAAAAAGGUGCUACACGUAAAGAAAAAAUUCAAUUAAAAUGGGUGCUGUAAAAAGGUUCUACAUGAGCACAUCACUAGACAUAACUGACCCAGUUCUCCAGAGUUACCUUUUGUUGCAUUUCCAGCCACCUUUGUUGAAGCACUAUCCCUCGCUGACUCAGCUUCUUGCUGCAACUUCAGGUUCAGUGCUAUUUCAAAGGGAACAACGUCAGGUUCAGUUCUACUCCCUCUGCUCCUAAACAUAAGCCUUUUUAGAGAUUCCAAUACAGACUACAUACGGAGCAAAAUGAGUGAAUCUACACUCUAAAAUGCGUCUAUAUACAUCUGUAUAUAGUUUGUAUUAAAAUCUCUAAAAGGUCUUAUAUUUAGAAAUGGAGGGAGUAUUCAUAGGGAAUGAGCACUCAACCUUCCUUUUUCCCUAAAAAAAAAUCCAGCACAAGCUCUACGCAAACAGCCACCUGUUCAUUCUCCACUCUCAGCUUCUCUUUUCUUCUUACAGAAGGCAUAGAAAAAUUACUCCAUUUCUUUCCACAUUCUUACACAUAAUUACUCCUACUUAUUGGGCCUGUAAUUCAUAUACCAGACAAUAAACAGUUGGGUUUCUUUAUUAUCUUGUUGAACAUUUACUGUUCUUUCAAUUCAUUUUUGUAUCCUUGAACGAACAGAAGAAUAUUUUUUUUCGAGAAAACGCAAGAAGAGCUUGCAUUUCAUUGCUUUGGAAAGAGGGUUUCGGUUACAAUCCUCCUAGGAGGGAAUUACAAGGCUGAGGGCAUGUUAGUGCACGUCCCAGGUUUGGGGCAAGAUGGCACGAAGCCCGAGGGCGCCGGCUCUGGCCCAGAGGGUGGCCUCGUCUUUGAUCUUCGUGAGCAGGUCGGUCGUCGAGGGCUGGCCUCUGUUGAAGACGCAGUCGUUGCGGUGCUUCCAUAUCAUCCAUGGGACGAGGAGGGUCGCGGAGGCGAGGCCCUUGCGCAUGAGUGUUGGGGUGGCAUGUCGCGCCGUGCGCCACCAGUCGUUGAGAGAGAGCUCUCUGUCGGGCGGGGCGCAGGGGAGCCUGAGCCAGUGCAGAACCUCAUGCCAAAUCUGUCUGGUGAAGGGGCAGGCGAGGGUGAGGUGGUGCAUGGUCUCGGGGGCCUGAUCACAAAGGAGGCAGCGUGCAGGGUGCUGCAGGCCGCGGCGGGCGAGGCAGUCGGCAGUCCAGCAUCGGUCCAGGCGGGCGAGCCAGUGGAAGAAGCGGACGCGCGGCGGCGCCCAAUUCUUCCAGGUGAGCUUCCAUGCAUCGCAGCCCAAGGAGCCAUUGAAAGUGGCGAGGUAGGCUGAUUUGGCGGAGUAGACGCCGCUUGUGCUCCACUUCCAGACGAGGCGAUCUGGCUCUGCGGAGAGUGUCGUGGCGCUGAUAGUUUGCCAGAGCUGUAGGUACUGCCCGAUCUCGUGUAUGCCGAUCGUGCCGUGAAUGUCCCGUGCCCACUUGUUGGCCUGGAGGCCAUCGGCGACGGUCCGGAGCUUGCGGCGGCGCUUGGGGGUGCAGGCGUAGAGGAGUGGCACAAUCUCGCAGACGGAGCGACCGUCGAUCCAGCGAUCUUCCGAGAAGAGGGCCUCCGUGCCGUUCCCGAUUUGCAUGGUGGUAGAGGCGAAGAAGAAUGAGCGCUCCUCAGCGGUGAACUGCAGGUCGAGGCCUGCCCAUGCUCUGGUGUUGUCCGUGCGGCUGAACCACAACCAGCGGGUGCGGAGCGCAAGGCUGAUCCGUCCGAGGUCGCGCACGCCGAGGCCACCGAGCGAGAGCGGCCUAGCGACGCGCUGCCAGUUGACAUGGCAGUGGCCUCCGUUUGCCUCCGCGCACCCAGCCCACAGGAAGCCGCGCUGAAUUUUCUCGACUGCGCGGAUGGUCUUCUUGGGUGGCGCGAGGGCGAGGAGCUGGUGGAUCGGUAUUGCGCUGAGGAUGGCUUUGACGUACGCAAGGCGGCCGGCUUUGUUCAUGAGAUGCGCCUUCCAGGUGGGGAGCAUGCCGGCCGUUUUGUCGACGACGGGCUGCAGCUGUGCGGCCGUCGGGCGAUGCAGAGUCAGAGGGAUGCCCAGGUACGUGAUCGGGAGCUCGGCGAGGGGGCAGCCCAACAGGUUGACAGCAGCCGUGACAUCAUCAGCGGUGCAUCGGAUCAAGGUGGCCGAGCUUUUGUUGUAGUUGACGAGGAGGCCUGAGGCUCGGCCGAAGAGCAGCAGGAUGCUCUUGACGGCGGUGAUGUCGGCAACGGUGGGGUGGCAGAAAAGGAUCACGUCAUCGGCGUAGAGGGAGACCGAGGGGAUCGGGCGUCGGGGGUGUAAUCGCUGCAGGACGCCCAGCUCCGUGGCACGGCGUAGAAGGCGACCGAGCGUGUCGACGGCGAGGACGAACAGCUGCGGGGACACUGGGUCGCCCUGGCGAAGGCCACACCGGUGCCAAAUGGUGGGGCCAGGGUCUCCGUUGAUGAGCACCUUCGUGCUGGCCGAGGAGAGCAAGAUGGCGAGCCAUUCCAGGAAGCGGUUGCCGAAGCCGUACUGCCGGAGGACCUCGAAUAGGAACGGCCAGCUGAUGGUGUCGAAGGCACGAGCCAGGUCCAGUUUCAGAAGGGCGCGAGGGGCCCCGAGCUGGUGCAGGAGGCGUGCAGACUGGCGCACGAGGAUGAAGUUGUCGUGCAAGCUGCGCCUAGGGAUGAAGGCAUUCUGGCAAGUGCUGACGAGGUUGCAGAGCUUCGGCACGAGCCGGAGCGAGAGGACCUUGGCGAAGAUCUUGGCGACGAGGUGAAUUAGGCUUAUAGGCCUAAAGUCGCCGAGACCGCGUGCGUCCGCGCGCUUCGGUAGCAGGGUUAGCAGGGCCUGGUUGAGGGAGCAGAAACCUCGACCGCGCAACUCGUACAGUUGCUGGAAAAUGUCGACGAAGUCUUGUCGAACAAUGGGCCAGCACGCACGCAGGAACUCUGCGGUGAAGCCGUCCGGGCCCGGAGCCUUGCGAGCGGGGAGUCGCUUCACAGCGUUCCAAAUUUCCUCGGCGUCAAAGGGGGCGUCGAGGUCGUCGAGGUUGGUGGGCGUGAUCAGCUCGGAGAGGUCGAGGCUGCAGUCGCGGGGCGUCUCGUGGCCGAGCAGGGCGUCAAAGUGCGCAUAGGCCGCGGCCGCCAUGUCGCGGGGGGCGGAGAUUGGGGCGCCGUCCACGGUGAGGCAAUGAAUCCGAUUCUUCUGCCGGCGAUACGUGCAUUGCCGGUGAAAGAAUGAUGUGUUAGCGUCGCCGUCCUUUAGAGUUGCGAUGCGGGCGAGCUGUCGGGCGAUGGUGCGCUCGAGAGAGGCGAGGCCGAGGUAGGAGGCCUUGAUCUGCCGUCGGAGCCAGUCUUCGUGCGGGGACAGGGGCCGGCUCUCCUGCGCAGUGUCCAGCCUGAGAAGGAGCUCUCUGGAGAUAGCGAGCUUGAGGCGAACGUUGCCCACAGUUCGCAUGCUCCAGCUAGUGAGCUUGCGCGCAGUGAUUCGCAUGCGCUGCAUGAGUCGCCGGAAGGGGUCGCUGCAAUGGGUGGAGUGCCAGGCGUCCGCCACAGUGUCAUGGAAUCCAUCCAAACGUGUCCAGAAUUCCUCAAAGUGGAAACGGCGAUGACCUGGCGGCACCGGUUUGCAAUCAAGCAGCAAUGGGAUGUGAUCGGAAACAACGGAGGCGAGGCAUCGGAGAUGGCACUCCCCAUGCAGUUCCUCCCAGUCGGGGGUACAGAGGACGCGGUCGAGGUGCACCAGGGUGGGGGGUGACUACUCGUUGGACCACGUGUAGCGCCGGCCAUUGAGGUAGACCUCUUUGAGGACAAGGUCGUUGAUCGCACGCCGGAAGCGACCCAUCAUGCGGCGGUUGAGAUUGCCAUUGCCGGUUGAGAACAGAAGAAUAUUUACUAUGCUGUGAAUUUCAAAUCGCUGUGCAUGUAGUUGAUACAUGAGAAAAAGCUACUAAAGCACAAGAAUAACAAGAUUAUGAUGCUGAACAAUGCUAGACAUAUCACUGCUCUACCUAACUCGCUCCUGGUAAAAAAAACUCGUGGUACAAAAGUACCAAAACAGAAUGAUACAUAUGUCAUUGUUUGCUUGCGUAGCAACGCUGAAUGUGUGAGCUGUCAACAUCGACAUACUUGGACCAGUAGGCCUUGUACUUGGAAACGGCAAGGUCCAGCCAGGGCUUGUAAUUCCCAUUGUAGUGAACUACCGCUGCAUUCUCGAUUUCAGCAAUGUCAACAGCAGGAUCGUAGCCAAGGCCCAAGACAUGCCAAGUGUGAUCCAAUGGGUGUGUCAAAUUGUAGAAUGUAAUUAGUCCUGGAGGUAAUGUGCCCAGCUUCCACAACUUGCGAUCCUCAUUCUGAAAAACAGCUUCUCUUAGUAAGUAAAACCAAUAAAAGCUACUCCCUCCGACCCAUAAUAAGUGUUGCAGUUUUGAACUAAGGUUUAAAACCUUAUUUUGGGUCGGAGGGAGUACUGACAAGCGAUUGUUGUAAGAGGACGACGUACACAUAACAUACACGGUGGGAUAAAUGUAGUUCAACAAUAUAACAAUAUUUUUUCGCUCCAUUACUUACCAAAUUUUGCCAAUAAUGGUAUAUUCCAGUGAUGUUUCGCUUCCUCCACUCCUUCAGGUCAAACAUGUUCAUUCCAAAAGCCCAACCACAAGCACGUGGAUCAAAGUUCUCAGAGAUCUUAGGAUGUGAGAAGUUGAGAUAAGUGUCGAAGCGAUGGAAACUUUCUUUGCAGGUUUCAACAGCACCAUUUACCAUCCCUUUAAGAUCAACGUCCCAGAGGGGUGUCAAGUCCUUCUGCACAACAACAUCAUCAUCAAGAAACAGGAUCUUGUCAAGCUUGGGAUGUAUCUCUGGCAUGUAGAACCUUAGAUGGUUGAGCAUAGACAAAUAUUUUGGGUUCCUGUACUUCAGAUUUUCAGUCCCAUCAGAGAGUGAUGACGGAUCAUGUGCUUUAAAGUAAAAUUCCUUGAGACGAGCUGAGUCAAGUUGCCGCAUAACCAAACAAUAAGACGAAUUGAGCCACUUGAAAUUGUCAAUGUUCUCCACAUGGACAGUAGCAGGGCGGGGAGAAUGACUGAUGAACCACAUCUUCAUAGCUGCAAAAUUAAGCUUGUCAGUGACGAUGUGGAACACAUGCUUAUUUGGCUCCUUGGCAUUUGUCACGGUUGAUCUGACAACUACUGAGGCUGCAAGGACAUUAUCAGAAAAUAUAGCAUAGUGAUAGAGUGACCGAUCCUCAAGCUUUGCUUUAUCUUCUUCGUCCUUCAAAGCAGCAGCUUGAAAGUACUCCUUGAUCACACCAUCACGGAGAUGAUAAUCGGUUAUCAACUGCAUAUGUAGGCAGUGCAAGGGCAUGGGAACCGUCUUUGCAGCAUGCUGAACCAGGAACGUGUUUUGCUUUUUCGCAGUGUCGAUAUUAAGUUCCGCGGACUGCAGCAUAACACGUAAUCUUCUCGACACUUCAUCAGAGUUGUACAGAACAUCUCUAGCUGAAGACAACACAUGCCCCAUUGCUUUUGCUCUCUCUAAAGCGCUGCAGAACAAGAGAGGGCGACAAUAUAUACAUUGUUCCAUGCCAAUGCGAACAAGAAACUGAAGAAAAGUCUGGAAUUUUCAGAGGUGUUAAAUGAAGUACCUUGAAUCCAGUUCACUGUCCAUAUUGGCAUCCCCGAUAGCUGCUUUGCUUUCUUUUAUGCACUUCAUGAGUGAUGCAUACAAGUCGGUCUCGUUCUGGGAACGUGCAAUGGUGGCGUACACCUUGGCCAUUAUUAUCUGAUCGUUCAUGAGCUUCACCGUGGAGUCUGUAUUUGUGUGGUGGAACUCCUGCCUCCAUAUAUUGUAACUGACUUUCACUUUAUUAUCGAAGUUCCUCGAGCUGUUUGUGGCCGCAUUUCGCAUCUGGAGCUCGGCCUCCUUGUCCAUCUGAAGCAACUCUUGAAUCCGCUGCUCCUUUCUUCUACGUCGAAAUACCUGCAGGAACCGUGUGAUGUUUACAACAAAGCGACAGCAAUGAAUAAGAGCUAGAAAAUUUAGGGAGUGAACCAGAAACACUUGCGACGUAAAGAUGAAUGCAUAUCCACCAUCUUACAAAACAACUAUGCAAGACAAACAAUGUCUGACCUCUCGCUUUAGCUUUAUCGGAUCGGGUCUUUGGGCUGCCAAAACCGCUGCACUUGAAAGAUUGUUGGCCUCUGAUCCGGUGUCCAGUGGCUGCUCCUCCGCGGUCUCUUGCUACCAUAACAGAAGAAGAACCACCGCUGAGUGUUAGAACCUAAAAUCAGUUUUUGCAACUUCUCUUGACGGCGGAACAUGCUUGUUCACGACAUACAAUUUCGGCAGGCGGCUGGCUAUCUCUGGGCAGCAGAGGGUUCUCCCAGAUAGAGGAGGACGCGAACUCCCUGGCGGUGACCUUGAACAGCUUGAUCCGGCCAUCCUGGUCGGUGUACGCGACGGUCUUGUUGAAAUCCUCCACGUCCUGCGCAAGCAAACACAACCCCACAUUGUUUCACACUGCACAAUCACACGCACGGCUCCAAGAUUCCUGGGCUGGGAAGUGGAAGCGGGGCAGAACCUGCAGAUCGCCGCACCCAGGGCAGCUCCGGUGACCGGCCUCGCGGGCGCUGCGGGGAUUCACGGCAGCGUCAGAGUUAGAGCGUCUAUUUAUUAAGCACGGCGCGGGCGGCGGCGGCGGCGAUACUUACGCUCGGUGGCGGUGGUCGGAGAAGAGCCGCCGCGACACCGCCGAUCUGACGGAGGGGACGUGGACGACGACCUGCGGGGCCGGAGCGGGGGGGACGGUCAGGAGCGAGGGAGGGAGGGAGGAGGGAAAGAACCCAUUUUUUUCCGCCGGCUCGUGCCGCGCCGCCGCAUUCCGCCGUUGCGGCCGGCGGGGGCGGGUGUGGAGUGCGGAGUGUGGGUGGGUGGGUGGUAAGGAGGAGAGGGGAGGGGUACCUGGAAGGAGAGGAAGAGGAGGAGCAGGAGGAGCGCGAGGAGGCCGGAGCGCCGCCGCCACGCCGCCGCCGCCGACGAGGGGUUGGGGGGCAGGGAGGGGAACGCCAUGGAGGAGGGAGUGGUGGGGCCGGUGGCGGUUUUUCGGGGGACGAAUCGCCGGGUGGCUCUAGCGGCCGUUUUUCCGUUGGGAUCGCAACGGGAAUGAAGGGGAAACUGUUACGGCCACACGUGCUGGUACACCCAAGGCAGUUGAGAAUCAUCAUGGGUGGAGAAAAAUACUGCGGGUAAAACCACAAUUGCAUUGUAUAUGAAAGAAAAUGUCGACCUUUCACGGAAAGAUCAAGGACGGAACCAAGAUAGGCCUUUUUGGCCGACAGGGGCUUGGAGGGCACACUCCAAGCACAACCGCGCAAUUUGAGCAUGGCCUUACAACUCUAUUGUACCACCUUUAACGUUGCGCCUCAAAAGAGGGUUGCCCGCCUUUGUAAAGAUUGCUCCUUUUUUUUAUCAUUUUAGUUUGUAACAGCUGACCACACCUGCCUAAAAAGAGGGGGAACUUUAUGUCUUUCCGUUUCAAAAAAGGGUUGCUCGCCUUCAUAAAGAUUGUUCUUUCACCGUACAAAGUGUGGGAUUGUUGUCAACUAGUGGUUUCGCGUGGAGUUUCCCCUCAACCCUCGUUCCCGUCGGCCGAUGAUUGGUGGAAUGCGAGUCUAAAUGCAUCCUUGGACCACAAUCAACGUGUAUGUCAUGUUGAGUAUGUGGAAGGAAAGGAGCAUGCAUGACUUCAACUUCCUUGGGUUAAUCUAUUUGGGGGUUGCAAAAUAUAUUUGCCUUAAAUUAAGGAGAUGAACAAAUUUACUUAGAGUAUGUAGAGCGCCAUUUGGGCGUGGUUGUUUCACCAAAAACAACCUCAUAGUAUGUAAAUUUAACUCUGUUUCCUAACUAAAAGAGAGUGUUCCUGCAAAUUUCUUGAAAAGAAUAUAAACAUCGUGUUCUACUUUAGCGGCACUAUCUGUGUUUUAUUAGAAGACAGGAUGUACAGUUAGUAUAAAAUUGAGUCACUUAUUUUGGGACGGAGGGAGUAGAUGAUAGACAAAUGUUUUUUGCAGUGCUGACACACACUGGUAGGUAUGGUUCCAACAAAGCUCCAGCUUUUUUGACCAGCCACUCUCCUAGUGCAGCAUCAAAUUCUCAUUUUUAUUUUACUGCAAGGAAGGCAUCAAAGCAUGAUUUGAUCCUCUAAGCGUCCUCAAAUCAUUUCUAUCCACCGAAGAAAGUUUCUUAUUUGAUAAUAAGAUUGGCUUUGUAAUGUUAGUGAGCUUCCCACUAGGAGCUAAACAAAUAAAAGGGAAAGGGAAAGUGAAAGGGCGCCUAAAUUGUUCUGAAGAACUUUUGGAUCAGUCUAGCACUUUAACCAGCUUCAUCCAGGAGUAAUCUGGAGCAGCUAGCAGAAAGUAAGCCCACCAUCACUUUCUGCCUCAUGAUUCGAAGAAACGUUUUUUCGGCAACAAAACUAUAUCUUGACCGCAUCAGAAAUAUCCUGCCGGUAAAUGUUAAAAUGCCCCUUUUCGAUAAAAAAGGUGAAAGCAAUAUUGUUAAGAUCUUUCUUUAAACCUAGAUUGUUAAGAUCUUUCAGGUAAUGAUUCAAAGGUUUGCUUUCUUCAGAGCAGGUAAAUGUACAGAACUUCGGUACUUCAACAGAACCAUGUUGGAAGGUCCACAAUCACUUUUUCUGUCUCAUGAUUUUCAGCAACCAAACUAAAACAUCCAACCAGAAAUGUUCAAUGAAAGGAAAAAUAAAUCGGUGAAAUCUUUCCGGUAACGAGUCAAAUGUUUGCGUUCUUCGGAGCAGAAGAUGUAUGGAAUUUCAGCACUUCUAUAACUGAUAGUGACUGAACGCUGUUCUUAGUGCAACCUAAUGCAAUGCAACACUAGUGCAGAACCGGGCAAUAGCACCGGUUCGUAAGGCCCUUUAGUGCCGGUUCCGUAACCGGCACUAAAGUGUGGUCACUAAAGGCCCCCUCCCCUUUAAUACCGGUUCAGCACGAACCGGUGCUAAAGGGCAACCACGUGGCACGAGCCAGCUCCGGGGGCCCGGAGCCCUUUAGUACCGGUUGGUAACACCAACCGGUACUAUAAGGUUUGGGUUUUUUUUAGUUUUAUGAAUUCUUUUUCAUUUAAUUUUGUGUUUCCAUUUUAAUUCUUUUUCAUUUGCUGUUAUUUUACGAUACUACACGUUGUAAACGUUAUGCAUAUAUAUAUAUAUAGAAUUUCUAGUAGAACCAAUCAUCGAGUUCAACAUGAUUGUCAUGAUAUUAUAAGCGUUCAUAUAUAACACCACAAAAGCAAAUCACUUAAGUUCAGAACGAAGAACACGGACAUAAAAGGACAAGUUCUAAUUAAGAGCAGCAUGAAGAACUAGCUAAAUCACUCCUGCUAGCUACUCUUUCUCUGGUAAAAUAGCAUAGAACAUGUAUAGCUCUCCUGAUUGAUCAUACUGGAGCAUGCCGAUGAACCUGUCUUCUAAUUGUGGGCUGCGCUUCUCAUUGCUGCCCCCUACUACUUCUCUGCGAUCAUUAACAAUUUCCUCCAAUCUUUCACUAUUAAGCAUUCAUCGCUUCUAGAAAUCCUGAAUGCAUUCAUGUGCAAUGCAGGAUAUCUUGGCCUUAAGCUAACAAUUGACAUCUGACCUUUAGUCUCGAUCCCCUGAGGCACAAUUGUCAUCGGGAGUCCCUGUUGAAGAACAUCGUAUAGUACUUAAUUAAUAUACUUAACAAUGAAAGUUUAGCAAAAAAAAUAUGUAUGCAAAAUAUGCACUGAGGACAAAUAGUAAAUAUCUUACCAUCAUUCCUAAAUAGAUGUGACCGUAGUUCAAUACCAUCACUAUUGGUCGCACGUUUUGAGUACUAACAUUUCCAAGUGCAGGAAAAACUUUUGUCUUGACAGUAUGAAGAUCCUCAAGCCAUGAAACAUAAUGACUUAUCUCCUCGCAGUUUAGUUCAGCUCUGGGACAGUGGAAUGUCCUGUCUACCAAGCGUCGGACAUGUUUGGUUGAAUGGAGAUAAACUGUCAAUAGAAAUUAGUUGUCAGUUAUUUUUGAAAUAAGCAAUAUCAAAGACAAAAAUAUAUUUGAGAAGAACUCACAUAAUGGUAGAAUUGGAGGCGUCUGCACAUCGACUCAUAUGUCUCUAUUACCUUCAAUAUCAUCUUCCGGACGAAUAUCAAAGGUGAUAACCAUACCAGGCUCAAAUGCAUAAGCCUUGCAUAGUGCUUGCCAAGUUUUGCAUUCAAAAUAGGUGUACGUGUGUGCAUUGUAUACUUUGACGUUGAAAGUAUAACCAUCAUGCUCAGUUUUCAGAUAAGCUCUCUUUACCUCCAUUGUUUUCAUAUCUUUGAAACCUAUCUUAUUCAAGACAAAAAUUUUUGCAUGGCAUAGGAUGCGCUAGUAGAAUAGUGAAAAUUAAAAAUUAUAAGUCAGGCAAAUGAAGCAUAUAUAAAUCAUGCUUAAUUAUGAAAACAGACUUGUCGUUGUGACUUACUGUAUCGAAUUCGAAAGUCUCAUCUAGCUUGAUGCUGAAUCGCCUACCAUCAACAAGGAAAUUUCUAUCGCACUGGCCGCGCUCGCCUUCACAGUAUGUGCACAUACUGAAAUUUUUUCCGUCGUCAGACAACAUUUCCUAUGUUCAUAUUAGGCAAAACAUUAAACACUUACUAAUUCAAUUAAUUCAACUAUUUCUAUUAAUUCAACUAAGAUUUACUAAAAAUAAACUAGUUCUAUCCAUCUCUUUCUCAGACUUAUCCCACUUAGGUGAAACAUUAAACACUUAUUACUAUCUAACAUUAAUUAAUAUCUAGCCAAUUCAAAUAUAUAUCUAACUAUAUUCAUCUCUAACAAUUGACAUUACUAUAUAUUUAACUUUUCUAUCUAAUUCAUCUAACAUUCGACAUUAAUCUAACAUUUAUAUAAACUCAAAAUAUAUAAAAACAUUAAAUAAACAGAAAAACUCAUUAACAAAUAAUAUUUUAAUUAGAUAAUCAAAUCUCAGAUACGACAAUUUUCUUACUAAAAAUAAACUAGUUAUAUUAAUUAUUCAACAAGUUCAAAAUCUCAUAUACCUAAAUAAACUAGUUCGACAAUUUUCUUACUAAAAAUAAACUAGUUAUAUUAAUUAUUCAACUAGUUCAAAUCUCACAUACCUAGCUAAUUAAUAUCUAAUUAAAUAAGUAAAAAAUGUGUGUGUCUGUGUGUGUAUAUGUGUGCAGUGUGUGUAUGUGUGUAUGUGUGUGUACGCCGCCUCGUACGCCGUCGCCCCGUACGUACGAGCGGGGGCGCCGGCGUACGGGGCGGGGGCGGGGGCGUACGGGGCGGGGGCGUCGGCGCGCGGGUGAGAGAGACGUACGGGACCGCGGCGACGACGACGUACGGCGGCGGCAUUCGGGGCGGCGGCGCGAGACGACGACGACGACGGGCGGCGGCGGGGACAGCGACGACGACGACGGACGACGGGCGACGGGCGGCGACGACGGGAUCGAGCGGCGCGCGGCGAUGUAAAGAGGUUGGAGACGAAGUGGGGAGAUGUAACUGAAAUUUUCGUAAGUGCUAUAUAUAUAGGAUGAGCCACUUUGGCCAGGCCAAGAGGCGGGAAGAGCAGGCCUUUAAUACCGGUUGGUGGCUCCAACCGGUACUAAAGGGUGAUCUUUAGUACCGGUUGGAGCCAUCAACCGAUACUAAAGGACUCGCGCUGCCACCCCAAAGUUUAGUCCCACCUCACCGGGCGAAGGGCAGCCGCACUGAUUUAUAAACCCAGUCGCGGCUACCUCUUUGAACUUCUCUAUAUAGCAGGCUUGUGGGCCUAAAUUCUGCGCGCUGCCCUGUGAGUCUGCUGGGCCUUUAAGGCUUGUAAUUGCACGGCCGUGGCCUAGCAGGCCCACAGGGCAGCGCCCCAAUUUUUUUUUAUAGUUUUUUUCUUUUUUGCUUUAUUUUCUUCUAUUUAUUUCUGCGUAGUUUUUUGUAUAGUUUUUUCUUUUCUAUUAUAAUUAUUUUUUUCUAUUUAUUUCUGAGUAGUUUUUCAUCUAGUUUGCCAAAAUUCAACAUUUUCAGAGUUCAUUUUGUAGUGAUUUUCAAUUUCACGGUCAUUUUAUAUAGUUUUUUUUCUUUUCAGCUAUUUUUUCUUUUCUGCAAAACUUGAUGGUCAAAGUCUGGAGUUAUAACCAAAGUUUAAAAAAAAGAAAUGCCGACCAUCAUGCAAAAAAUAUAAGAGCAUUUAGAUCAUGAUCUUAUAUUUCUUUGCAGUCUAAAUUGUCAAUAUGAUCUUAUAACAUCAAAAAUACUUUGAUCAUCAAUGAUCUUUGUGUGUACAAUCUGAAUUGUCAAUAUGAGUCAUCAACGAUUUAUAAACCGAUGAAUACUCAUAUUGCAGCCACAAAUUCUACACAUAGAGUUCAAUGAAAACCAAGUGCUUGUAAUAGUUUGAGAAAUAAUAUAUUUAAGGUGGUAAAAGGCUUGUUAGGGGAGCGAGGUGGGACUAAAAACAGCUUGCCAUAACAUUAAUUAGUAUCGGUUCGUGGUACGAACCGGCACUAAAUGGUGAUGGUGGGGCCAUAGCCUGACCGCAGGCUGACACAGCCUCUCUAGUACCGGUUCGUGGCAUGAACCGGUACUAAAGGAUCGCCACGAACCGGUGCUAUUGAUCGCCGCCACGAACCGGCACUAAUGUACACAUUAGUGCCAGCUGAAAUUCAAACCGGCACUAUUGUGCUUCACAUUUGACCCUUUUUCUAAUAGUGCAACCAACCCAUGGCAUUUCAGUGGAAAAAAUCAUUGAAUUCAUGCAUGCGAGUAUGGCAACAGCUAAAUAAUAUCUCCGUAUAUCGCUACGCUAUUACAAUGAUCAUCAUGAUCGGCGCAAACUUCGUCAUGACAACGGGAAACAAUGGUAUGGUGGUCUACCUUUACAUUCUCCAAAUUUAUAUCGGUUACAUGGUUAUACAUAUCCUACAGACACUCCUGAUCAUGAUCAUCUGCCCCUAGAGUUGGUCCUAGCGCCGUCGCUCCUCGGCGAGUUCCCCCGGCCACGCGGCAUCGACGGGCUGUCUCGCCUGGCCUCCCUCGACUUGGACUUGCUCUUCAUCGCCUCGAUCUGCUCGAGCGCCUCGACGACCUCCUUCAUGGACGGCCGGCUCUUGGGCUCACCGGCCAGGCACUUGAGGGUGAGCUGAGCGGCGCGGAAGGCUCCCCUGGCAUGGUACUGCCCCUCGAGCCGGCUGUCCAUCAGCUGGGUCAGCCUCCUCCGGUCCGACAGGAGCGGCUUCGCCCAGUUCACCAGGUUGAGCUUCUCGCUGGGGCGGCUCGGGUCCAGCGCCCUCAGGCCACAGAGCAUCUCGAGCAGCACGACGCCGAAGCCGUACACGUCACUCUUCACAUACAGGUGGCCUAGCAUGAAAGGUGUUCAGUGUUAUGUAACCAGUGCUAUGAACAGAUGAUGCACAGUGUUAAUUUGUAAUGUGACUAUUAACUGACGAACAUACCGGUAGAAACAUACUCCGGAGCGGCAUACCCAUACGUGCCCAUGACUCGUGUUGUCACAUGAGACUCCCCAUCAUCUGGGCCAUGCUUGGCCAAUCCAAAAUCUGAGAGCUUCGCGUUGAAGUGCUGAACAUAACAUAGUUGCAGGGUGUUAAGAGAAUUAUCCAAGAUCAGAGACACUGUUAUUAAUCGCUCUUGGAAUAAUACAUACUGAAUCUAAUAGGAUGUUGGAAGCUUUGAAGUCCCGGUAGAUAAUCUGCCUUUCGGACGAAUGAAGGAAGGCGAGGCCACGGGCUGCACCGAUGAGAAUCUUCAGCCUGAGGCUCCAAGGCAGUGGCUCAUAGAUGGCCCCUCCUGAUAAAACAUCAACGAAUUAGUAGUUUAGUACCACAACUGAGCUAAAUGGUAAGUUUGAUCACAAAUAAUCUUUGACAGCUAAGCAAAAAAGCAGAGCAGAGGAAAAAAUCCGAGUCCUACUUUUGACCCUCUAUUUGCAAAUUGACCUGGCAAGAAUGAUGGAAGGCAGCAGCAGCAGCAAGAAUUUGGCUAGGUUCAGACAAUUUAGUGGAUGCUCGUGCCCUUGAAAAGUGCUAGUCGUUAGUUGUAUAGCACUAUGGACUAUGGUGCUUGAUAUAUAAUAUGCGACGAAAACGAUGUUGCAGUUUCACCAGCAUCUGCAAGGCGUGCUGCUUUGCGGACCAAGUCGGCAUAAAGAGGAAAAACAGUUUGACAAAAGGAGAACUUUGUUUCAGAUAUUUAUCGCUUGAAAAAGGCCGUCUGCCCUCACUUCUGAAGAGGUGGUUCUCCAAGCUCCCCUUGGCCAUGAACUCGUACACGAGUAGUAGCUCGUUGUCCUCCAUGCAGUAGCCCAACAGUUUGACGAGGUUGGGGUGCGAAAUCCUCCCGAGGAAAUUCACUUCAGACUGCAUCAAAAGGAUAUAGUAAUUCCUUUUCAGAGAAAUGCAUAAUGGAAAUCUUGGAAAUCUGGUACUGCUUCCAGAAUUAGCAAUAAAUAGGUAACUAAAUAAAAUGAAAGCAACAGCCACAAUACAAAUUCCUAGUGUCUGCCAGUAAGCAGUACCAGUACUUGUCAAGAAUAGCAUAAAUAUGAAGUGGCCAAAACCAGUGAGAGCAGAGUACUGGAAUAUGCGCAAAAACACACAAGGAUAAUCUAAGAGGGUUUUACUACUUAUAGCAAUAAAAAAUGAAACAUGGAAAUCCUAUUUAGCCAAUAAUUAGUAAUAGUACUUGCCAAGAAGGCCAUACAUAUAAUAUUUUUCAAUGACUGGUGAGAUGAUAGUAUUGGAGUAUACACAAAAAACAAGAAACCAGAGCACUGUGGCCAGGGAAAAUAAUGCAAAGGUUCAGCAUUCUCCACUUGGCCAAAAGCGUGCAAAUGUGGCAAUUGCAACUUGAGCAAAACUACAAGGCAACACUAUCACUAACUUUUAACGAUUGUAGGAAAACUGAAAUCUGCGUAAGAAGUAAGAACUGAAAGCACCAUUAUUUUUUUUUAAAAACGGGUCACUGAAAUUCGUCGAAGUAGGAAAACUGAAAUCUGCCUAAGAAGUAAGAACUGAAAGCACCAUUGUUUUUUCUUAAAAACGGGUCACUGAAAUUCGUCGAAGUAGAAAAACAGAUAUAAAGGCAACCAAUUCACCAGGAUCACAAUCACCUGCCAUUGCUCCAUCCCCUGCACGCUCUCGGGGUUGAGCUUCUUGACGGCGACGACCAUGGCGGUGCUGCCCUUGGCGGGGUUCACGUCGAUCCACCCCUUGUAGACCUUCCCGAAGCCGCCCUCGCCGAGCACCGUCUCGGGCUUGAAGUUCCUGCAGGCGCCCCUGAGCUCGGCGAAGGUGAAGAUCCGGAGGUUCGGGGACUCGAGGAUGUGGCCCCCCUCCUCCUCGUAGCAGUCGUCGGUGCUGCCCCCGCUGACCGUCGACGCCAUGAAUGUGCUGGUGCUGACCGUCGACAGCUUCCCCGUUGUGGCGGUGGUGGAGGAGCUCGUGGUCCUCUUCGACGCAGACAUCCCUAGACAUGCAUAACAAUUAGCAAAUGUGAGGUCGUAAGUUGACUGGAAACUAAAUUGCAGUGCUUUUCCUUGUGCUCUGUAGAUUUAUCGAUGCAUUUGAUGCUGCUAGUAAAAAGAUUGAAGUAAACAAGUUCAGGAAACUGAAUUGAGAUAUGAAGUGGCCAAUUUGAUGCUGCUAGUAAUCAAGUGCAGGGUUCAGUUCAUUGCAGCCACAAGUUGACCCAGUUGGUGAAGGUAUAGUAUGCACCCCAAUACAGUAGUGGCAGCAUGGAGAGGGUAACUAGCACUAGCAGUAGUAGUACUACAUGGCCAAAUCAAUGAUGAACAGAGAUGUAUAUUCUGUAGUCACAUGAAUGGAAUAUUGCAGUUGAAAGAAACCAUCAAGAAUGCACAAGGCCAUCCCAAAACAAAAAUUAAUAAUCUCCAACUGCAUAUUGGUCGGUCAAGGCUAGCAUCAAGUUGGCCACAGAGAUUGCUGUAAAAAGUAAAAAAAAAAUGAAAAAAUUGACCACAUGCUUGACUGGUUUUUGAAGAUCUCAGGUAGUAGAGGCCUCAACAAGCCCAAAGACUAGGAUAGAAUAUUCCUCUCACAUGGAAGAUAAAAUGAAUUGGGGAAUGAAUCGGCGGUUAGCAUCCGAGCGGUACCUGCGGGCUUGGCGCCCCAGCCCCACGGGAUGAGGCCCUCCAUGGCGCUGGCGCAGUUCCCCAUCGCCCGCGGAGGGAGGGUCGCCUUGCGCGACGGGGAAGCUGCCGGCGACCCUGCGGCAGGCAACCAACCGCGCCGAGCAGAGCGCGCCAACAAGUUCCAAUCCGGCCGAGGGAGAGCAAGCCAAGAAGAAGACGCCAAGAAGCCAGGAAGGAGAAGGGAAGGCGGAGGGAAGCGGCGAGGAAGGCGGGAGGAAGCUGUGCUGGGACGACCCCGAGGACGACGAGGAGGAGGAAGAAGCACCGGCGAGCGAGGAGGGGGGAGGGAGUUGCUCCACUCGGUUUCUUGAUUUCUUCUUCGACUCUCCCUUCACUUUCAUUAGACGGGAAAAAUAUAUACGCGCCCGCGACGACGAGUGGGGCACGCCCGCCCCCGCCGCUGCCGCGUGGGGCCCCGGGAGCUCCUGGGUCAACGGGGUCAACGGCCGGCUGUCUGUAUGCCCCGGCCCCGUAUUAUAACUGUGGCGGUUUUUCGUCGUGUGCAACUCGGCCGGCGACGACGACCCCGACCCCGUCGCGGUUUCCGGCGAGCUAGGAAGUGCCGUACGGUUUGGCAACCACGUUUGAAAGUUUUGAAAAUGAAUCUGAAAAGGGAAAACAGGGGAGCAUGUUAUGAAUAUGGUGACGUUCCGUUGCCACGCGAAACCUCAAGUUGAAACACGUUGCGAGGUGCGAGCUAUGGAGGAAAGCAAACUCAGCGAUGAAUAGGGACGUCGCUUUAGAGUCUGAACUUGCGGGGUCUGUCACUUGCUUUACAAUGGAGUGAGCUAUCUAUUGACAUUGAAUCUGAUUGCUUGGAGGCUACCAAUCUUUUGAAGAAUGGAUACAUCUGCGAACAGUUUCAUGGUUCAUGAAAUCAAAAUACUCAUGAAUCAACGAAAUUCUUGUAUUACUCACAUUUGUCGUAGUCAAAACAAUCUAAGCCAUUUGUUGGCAUCUUUUGGUAGAACUACAGGUCGUACAAUGGUGUGGCUUGGAUCUGGACCCGAUGAGGUCGUCAAACUCUGUAAUUCUGCUGGUAGCUCGGCUACGUGAGUAAUACAAGUAAUUUCCCGCCAAAAAAAAAAGAAUAGGGACGCUGCUGUUCGACACUGUUCGAUGUUGAUUUCGUUGUUUUUAUAUCUCACGCUCUUGUAAUGUGGUUAUCAGUCCUAGAAGGUGUUGCCAUGAAAGAAGUCGACUUGGUCAUCUUUUCAUACCUUGUAGUGGCUCGGUUGCCUUUGUUUUGCACUCUACUAAUAACAAGAAUGUUAGGUGCAUCAUAAUGAUGCAGAUGCCGGGGGUUUCAACCUCCUUGUGGGGAAAAUAGAAAUGAGGGGUCCAUCAUCUUGGACCACCAAACCGAGUUGAUGGUGCGCCCCGACGUUCCCUACUGGAGCUGGCCAAACCUUGUUCAUCACGUACAGGGAGUUAUCGGCACUUUGGCUCUACCGGGCCAACAUACCAAAAACCGAAGUUGUUGCCGAAAUCACAGGGGAAUGCCGACCCAGAGACUCGAGCACUGCUAUCAAAUCAAACACCCUCCCCCAUUGAAGAUAAACAAGGGAGGCAAAACAUCAAACUUUAAUCAUCACCCAAGCAGCCACCAUCGUCCAGAACGAUAUUAGAACCACCAACUAGAGCGCCAUCACUGCCACUCGAGGAAGCACACCGGUGCCCGGUGCACCCAAAGAAACUGAUGGAUCUAACCAGAACCAAACAUCCAUGUGCCCUCUGUCGAAGUGCAUACUAGGCGGGUAGGACAUUAUUUCGACCUUUUAGGUUGUCGUCGUCGUCUCACCACCCCGACCACGACACAAACCUUAACAAAACCGGAAUAUGAAUCCUUCCACCAGCGAGAAUCAGGCUCCACCCUGCCUCCAAGGCCCAUAGGACCACCGAAGGAGAGGCGGACCAAUGGUGGCGCCGAUGGAAGGAGCGGAAAGCCUAAUAGCCUUGUAGACGGGGUUACGAGAGGUUUUAUAUGGAGUUGAUUCAACAAUAUUUUUUUCAUUUUUUUGCGGGAAACUUUUGUGUUCAUCUUCAAUCAUGGCAGUACAAGCACUGAAGUGAGCCGAAGGCGCACCGCCGUCAUCGCCCGUCCCUCGCCGGGGCCGGGCACAACUUGUUGUAGUAGACAAUUGGUAAGUCGUCGUGCUAAGGCCCCAUAGGACCAACGCACCAGAAUAGCAACCGCCACCGAUGAAGAGAAGUUUAGAUCUGAAGGAUCCAACAUGCAGACGCAAGAACAAAGACGGACAAAGACCGAACCCGAGCAGAUCCACCAAAGACACACCUCCGCACGCCCUCCGACGAUGCUAGACGCACCAUCGGGGCAUGGGCCAGGCGGGAAGAACCUUAUUGCAUCUUCAAGGAGCCGCCACCGUCUCGUUUUCCUGAGCAGGACACAACCCCUAACAAAACUUGAAGAAGUACCUAAGAAUGGAGCCCUCCCUCCGGCAACGACCGGGAUCCACCACACACCCAUAGACAUAAGGCUAUAGGAGACGUGGCAGAUCGGUGGCGCGGCCAACGAGGGCCAAAAACCCUAGCCGCCUUUCCUAAGGAGGAGAGACGUAAGGAGGAGAGACGCAUGGGUACGUAUGAUUUCGUCAGAAAAGGUUAUCGGCUCAACGGUAUUUUCUCGUAGACUAGACAACGAAUAACUGCAUUUCUAUGCGGUCCACGACAGUUUGGUUGAUUUGAUUUGUGUUUUCUUCGCUGGUGGAGGCAGCAUGGUUGAGUUCGGUCACAACUCGAUUCUCGAUUGCAUCAUUUACUGGUUAAGAAAUUGGUAGGCAUUUGCUCGGGAGUUAUAUCUGUUAUCUUGUGAAGGAAGAAUUAGUUCACUCCGGGCCUCUUCGCCGCUCAAGGAUGCAAACAACCAAAUUAUUGAAGAACAAGCUAUCCAAGACAAUACAUGCCAAAGCUCUCGGUCCCUAGCAUAGGAUACACCUACAUAUGUGCAUGUGUACGUGCGGUGUGUAUGUGUGUGCGUNNNNNNNNNNNNNNNNNNNNNNNNNNNNNNNNNNNNNNNNNNNNNNNNNNNNNNNNNNNNNNNNNNNNNNNNNNNNNNNNNNNNNNNNNNNNNNNNNNNNNNNNNNNNNNNNNNNNNNNNNNNNNNNNNNNNNNNNNNNNNNNNNNNNNNNNNNNNNNNNNNNNNNNNNNNNNNNNNNNNNNNNNNNNNNNNNNNNNNNNNNNNNNNNNNNNNNNNNNNNNNUCAAAGAGGAAGGAAAAAAGAAGAGUUGGUGUGAGAAGUUUGAAUGCACCUUCGUAGAAUUCCGGGUGUAUUAUCAAGCUGAAGUCAUGAGAAAUGAUAAAAACCAAGAGAAAGGAACCGAACUAGCACUUUUAGAAGAAGAAGAAAAAAAGUGUCCCCCGGCUGAUCGAUUUCGUUGAAAAACCCAUGUCAGUAUGGAAGCUAGCUCAACGACCUUCUUGUUUCUUCUCUCGUGAAGAAUACGAAGUAGCAUAAUUUUUUUAAAAAAAUUAAGAUAUAUAAUUUUCAACUCAACCUCUCACUUUGAUUAACGGAUAAGCGCGUGCUCCGGGUGUCUCUAAAAUACAUUUUCAACUUGAUCGACUCUCUGUUUGAGUGAUUGAAAAGCGGGCGAAAACAAAUAUUAUGGUCAAUCCAGGUGCGUUUGCAUAGGGACAAAUCAAUGAUCUUUUCUUUUCCCUCAUGUAUAGGAGGCCAGGGCAAAGUUCUCCUCCCCUCCAAGCUCCACCUGUACUCCGUCUGCCGCUCCGAAGGCUGGUGGCAGGGUGGAGAAUCUCGGCGCCUCGGCUCUGCCUAGUAGUUCAAGGUAGCGUUUUAUAGUCCUCACAGAGGUGGUGCUCGAACUAAUGAUGACGCUUCAUCUUUGUGUUGGUCCUCUGAGCUUCGAUCCUCCUCAAAUCGCUUAAUCAGGACGAAGUCGACGGAGCAUGUACAUGCGUGCAUGACGACGAGAUCUACUGUCAGGCGCUUUAGAACUAUUCAAGGAGUUCAACGACUCUAGGGCGUCGGUUCUUGAGGCAUGUGAACAAGGACUUUCCGAAUGUCGUCGACAAGGUCAGGCCAACUACGGUAUGAGAGUGGCGACGACACGUCGGCAACUCGUUCUUUUCUUUUUUGCGGGUGAUCUAUUGUCGGCAGCUCGUUCUGAUGGUCAUAGUGGUUGUUCGAUGAUCCAUGAACCUCAAUGUAUUUUUAGUCAUGUUUGAGGUGGCUUGUACUUUCAAUGAACUUUUAUAGUAUAUGAAUAUGUAUUUUAUAAAUAGAAAAUCAUCACUUGAUUAAGGCCUGGCAUUAUGCCGCAUGCGGUUAACAUGUUAACCGUCGACUCUGUCGCGGCAUCGGUGGAUCUUCCGGGCUGCCGGCUGGGCGGGUCUACUAAAAUUCGUCGUGUCCGGCCGUCGGCGUCGUGCAUGCGGCCAUAGCUGCCGGGUUUUCCACGACGAAGACGAGCUGUGCCGCGCGGAACUCCGACCGAACGAUCCAGCCAGUCUUUCUUUUUCUUUUACCGGGAGAGAGAUAGAACGAGUUGCCUCAGUCGUCUACUGUCAAGUUGCAUCUGUCCAUGCCAUGCGACGGCACCCCAAUUCAAUUAAUUCCAUGCGACGGCACCCCUCAUCACUGCUUAAUUUAUCCUCUAAUCUCUAAUCACCCCUCAUUAUUUCAAAUCAUCUAACUUCCCGAACGGUCACCCAUCCUCCCACUCCCUCGGCCUGAGUACGCUUAACUUACGGGUUCUAUUCUCCCUCGUUUCCAAGUCUGCACUUGUUGUUUUCCUGACAAUAGUAAGAUGUCAAUUCUGUUAACCCUUAGGAAUUUUGCUUGAGUAUGAAGGGACACAUUUCAAUGUUUGAGUUUGAAACUAUUGUUUUAAAAAACAAUAAUUAUUUAGUAACACUAAUAUUUCUUGAAUAAUUAGUUUGACAAUUGUUUGACCACAGUUUGACUAGAUUUGACCAAAAUUCAAAAUAACUGAAAUAAUUAUUUAGUAACACUAAUAUUCUAGAAUAAUUAGUUUGACCAUUGUUUGACCACAGUUUGGAAUUUUUUCGAUUUUUUCCACUCUAGAUCUUAAAAGCCCCGUAACUUUUUUCUGUUAGGCUUUNNNNNNNNNNNNNNNNNNNNNNNNNNNNNNNNNNNNNNNNNNNNNNNNNNNNNNNNNNNNNNNNNNNNNNNNNNNNNNNNNNNNNNNNNNNNNNNNNNNNNNNNNNNNNNNNNNNNNNNNNNNNNNNNNNNNNNNNNNNNNNNNNNNNNNNNNNNNNNNNNNNNNNNNNNNNNNNNNNNNNNNNNNNNNNNNNNNNNNNNNNNNNNNNNNNNNNNNNNNNNNNNNNNNNNNNNNNNNNNNNNNNNNNNNNNNNNNNNNNNNNNNNNNNNNNNNNNNNNNNNNNNNNAGUAGAUGAUCUUUUAUAUAAAAAACUUUUUAAUCCGAGUUCGUAUGCAAAAGUUAUGCCCAUUUUACUAAAUUCUAGAGAGAUUUUGCAAAUAAAGUCGAAAUUCAUAUUUGUAAAUUUUUCCAACAACUAGACCACAUAUCACAUGGAAAACUUAUUUUCUUUUAUUUUUUCAACAUUUUCAUCAUUUUUUUUAUUUUUUUAAAACUGAAAAGGCGAUCCAGGGGGGUAGAGUUUGAAAAUGGGACAUUUAGUACCGGUUCGUGCCAUGAACCGGUACUAAUGCCUCAAACCCCAUUAGUACCGGUUCGUGGCUCGAACCAGGACUAAAGGUCUAACCUUUAGUCCCGGUUGGUGCCACGAACUGGUACUAAUGGGCAUCGCACCCUUUAGUCCCGGUUCAUGGCACCAACCGGGACUAAAAGGUCCAGACGAAUCGGGACAAAUGGCCCACGUGGCCCGGUCGGCCCCCUAGGCUCACGAACCGGGACUAAUGCCCCCAUUAGUCCCGGUUAUGGAUUGAACCGGGACUAAUGGGCAAACCCGGCCUGGACCAAAGCCCUCUUUUCUACUAGUGUAAAGUCAUUGUCCAGCCUUGUCGGUCAUCAACGGAAAAACAAAUAAAUAGACUAGCCUUGUCGCCUAGGACAAGUCUCCGGCCUCACCAAACGGCUCAACUGUGACCGUGUCGCGUCGUCCUAAUCCAGGUUCACCAACUCGCGGUUGAGACUAGUUCAAAUAAACUCAUGAUGGAGGACAAAUCAUAGUAAUACUUCAACUUUAUAAGGCAUACACGUAUUUUUAAAUUAUCAAUUUGACCAACAUAAUACUUCAAGUUAUUUCAUGAAAGCUAUGUCGUUCAAAACCUCUCUCGACUACAAAUUUAAAGGCAUACCUUUUGUGACAUAUAGCUCGUAUUUCGUUGGUCAAAUUGAUGACAUGGGAACACGCACGAGCCUUAUAAAUGAUGACAGUUUUUUUUCUUGUAAACCGAGGAUCGCGAGUAAGAACAUAUGGUUCACAUGUCCAUCGUGUUGAAAAUUCCGAUAGAAUAAUGGGAAAUGCGUGAGGGGAGAGGAGCUUUCAAGCAAAAAUGUGAAAUUCCACAUGUGUAGUCAAGUAGUGGACCAUAAAACACUAGUAAAACAAACACUUCGGACGUGUAGAGAAAAUCCUGUCUUUGCUUUUGGGAAGAAGAUAGCCCUCCGCAGAUAAUUUUUUUUGUGGUGUAAAGUAGUUUGUAUUACUCAAGAGCAAAGGAAUUCUUCCCUAUACAGACUAGGGAUAUUACAUUGACCGGAGCAAAUCCAAACCGCAGUGCGAUCCUCGGUCCUAAUCACUGGUGGAAAAACAGGCUUCCGGCCAGCCCCAUAAGUCGCGAAGCUGUAGGAACCGCGACUAAUGGGACCUUUAGUCGCGGUUCUGGAGGUGAACCGCGACCAAAGGCCUGGGCCCAGGGCGCUCGGUGGCUAGCUGGCGCACGUGAGGGUCUUUAGUCGCGGUUGGCCAGGACAACCGCGACUAAAGGCCUUCGGGCACCUUUAGUCGCGGUUUGCCAGGCCAACCGCAACUAAAGCCCCUCCCCUAUAUAUACCCAUCCAGCAGCCAACACUUAGCCAUUUGGAGCCAUUCUCUUCACAAGUGGGUGUAGCUAGGUUUGCUUUUGGUUCCUCUUAUGCACAUAAGGUGUUUGAUGAAAUGCCCCAAGAGUAUGAAACAAACAUGACAUGAAGUGUUGGAGCCACACUCCUCGAUCGCGGUUAGCAACUUGAUGAACCUUUGAUGUGUCAUUGAUAAAAUAUGCAUGUGUGCAGUUCAUUGUUUAAUUUAUAUUGUUUGUAGCUAGUUAGUUUAACAAAUGCAUGAUGGUUAAUUAUAUAUUUUAUAUUAUAAUAAUGCAGAUGAAUCGGCAAUGGAUGUACGGUAACCGACUCUCCGGCGAGUUCACUACGGGUUUGAAAGAUUUCCUCGUAGUGGCUAAUGCGAACAAGCAGGGGGUUUUUGUUAUCUGUCCAUGUGUUAUCUGUAAGAAUCAGAAAGGUUACUCUUCCUCAAGAGAUGUUCACAUGCAUCUGCUUCGGCACGGUUUCAUGCCAAGCUAUAAUUGUUGGACCAAGCAUGGAGAAAGAGGGGUUAUAAUGGAAGAAGAUGAAGAAGGGGAUGAUUUCAUCGAUGAAAGCUAUCUUGCUCAUUUCGGUGAUACUUUCAUGGAGGAUGCUGAAGGUGAAGGGGAAGGUGAAGAAGAGGCACGUGAUGAUCCCGUUGAUGAUCUUGGUCGGACCAUUGCUGAUGCACGGAGACGCUGCGAAACUGAAAAGGAGAGGGAGAAGUUGGAUCGCAUGUUAGAGGAUCACAGAAAGGCGCUGUACCCCGGAUGCGAUGAUGGUCUGAAAAAGCUGGGCUGCACACUGGAUUUGCUGAAAUGGAAGGCAGAGGCAGGUGUAGCUGACUCGGCAUUUGAAAACUUGCUGAAAAUGUUGAAGAAUAUGUUUCCAAAGGAUAACGAGUUGCCCGCCAGUACGUACGAAGCAAAGAAGGUUGUCUGCCCUCUAGGUUUAGAGGUUCUGAAGAUACAUGCAUGCAUCAACGACUGCAUCCUCUACCGCGGUGAAUACGAGAAUUUGAAUGAAUGCCCAGUAUGCACUGCAUUGCGUUAUAAGAUCAGAGGCGAUGACCCUGGUGACGAUGUUGAGGGCCAGAAACCCAGGAAGAGGGUUCCCGCCAAGGUGAUGUGGUAUGCUCCUAUAAUACCACGGUUGAAACGUCUGUUCAGGAACAAAGAGCAUGCCAAGUUGUUGCGAUGGCACAAAGAGGACCGUAAGUCGGACGGGAGUUGAGACACACCGCAGAUGGAACGCAAUGGAGAAAGAUCGACAGAUGGUUCAAAGAUUUUGCAGCUGACGCAAGGAACAUAAGAUUUGCUCUAAGUACGGAUGGCAUGAAUCCUUUUGGCGAGCAGAGCUCCAGCCAUAGCACCUGGCCCGUGACUCUAUGCAUCUACAACCUUCCUCCUUGGUUGUGCAUGAAGCGGAAGUUCAUUAUGAUGCCAGUGCUCAUCCAAGGUCCGAAGCAACCCGGCAACGACAUUGAUGUGUACCUAAGGCCAUUAGUUGAUGAACUUUUACAGCUGUGGGGUGGUGUCCGUGUGUGGGAUGAGCACAAACAAGAGGAAUUUGACCUACGAGCGUUGCUUUUCGUAACCAUCAACGAUUGGCCUGCUCUUAGUAACCUUUCGGGACUGUCAAAUAAGGGAUACAAUGCAUGCACGCACUGCUUACAUGAGACUGAAAGUGUACAUUUGCCAAAUUGUAAGAAGAACGUGUACCUUGGGCAUCGUCGAUUUCUUCCGAAAAUUCAUCCAGUAAGAAAGAAAGGCAAGCAUUACAACGGCAAGGCAGAUCACCGGUCGAAGCCUGCGGAACGCACUGGUGCUGAGGUAUUUGAUAUGGUCAAGGAUUUGAAAGUCAUCUUUGGAAAGGGUCCUGGCGGACAAUCAGUUCCGAAGGGAGCUGACGGGCACGCAGCCAUGUGGAAGAAGAAAUCUAUAUUCUGGGAGCUAGAAUAUUGGAAAGUCCUAGAUGUCCGCUCUGCAAUCGACGUGAUGCACGUUACGAAGAAUAUUUGCGUGAACCUCCUAAGCUUCUUGGGCGUGUAUGGGAAGACAAAUGAUACAAAGGAAGCACGGCAGGACCAGCACGUUUGAAAGACCCUGAUGACCGGCAUCCGGAAUGGUUUCAAGGUCGUGCCAGCUACGCUCUGACCAAAGAAGAGAAGGUCAUCUUUUUUGAAUGCCUGAGCAGUAUGAAGGUCCCGUCUGGAUUCUCGUCCAAUAUAAAGGGAAUAAUAAACAUGGCGGAGAAAAAGUUCCAAAACCUGAAGUCUCACGACUGCCACGUGAUUAUGACGCAAUUGCUUCCGAUUGCUUUGAGGGGGCUCCUGCCGGAAAAUGUUCGAGUAGCCAUUGUGAAGCUAUGUGCAUUCCUCAAUGCAAUCUCUCAGAAGGUAAUCAAUCCAGAAGUUCUACCACGGUUACAGAACGAUGUGAUCCAAUGUCUUGUCAGUUUCGAGUUGGUGUUCCCGCCAUCCUUCUUCAAUAUUAUGACGCACCUCCUGGUUCACCUAGUCGAAGAGAUUUUCGUUCUCGGUCCUGUAUUUCUACACAAUAUGUUCCCCUUCGAGAGGUUCAUGGGAGUAUUAAAGAAAUAUGUUCGUAACCGUGCUAGGCCAGAAGGAAGCAUCGCCAAGGGCUAUGGAAAUGAGGAGGUAAUUGAGUUUUGUGUUGACUUUGUUCCUGACCUUAAGCCGAUUGGUCUUCCUCGAUCGCGGCACGAGGGGAGACUAAGUAGAAAAGGCACGAUCGGAAGGAAAUCAACGAUAUGUAUGGACGGCUAUUCUCUGACUGAAGCACACCACACUGUACUGACCAAUUCCAGCUUGGUGGCUCCGUACUUUGAGAAACACAAGAAUAUUUUACGCUCGGACAACCCGGGGAAGCCUGAAUCCUGGAUUAGGAAGGCCCACAUGGAGACUUUCGGCAGUUGGUUGAGAAAACAUUUAAUGAAUGACAAUGAUGUUGUAGAUCAGCUGUACAUGUUGGCCAAGACACCAUCUUCGACUAUAACGACUUUCCAAGGGUACGAGAUAAAUGGGAAUACAUUUUACACGAUCGCCCAAGAUAAAAAGAGCACCAACCAAAACAGUGGUGUCCGCUUUGAUGCAGCAACCGAGAAUGGGCAAAAGGUCACAUAUUAUGGUUACAUAGAGGAGAUAUGGGAACUUGACUAUGGACCCUCCUUUAAGGUCCCUUUGUUCCGGUGCAAAUGGUUCAAGCUAACAGGAGGUGGGGUAAAGGUGGACGAGCAAUACGGAAUGACAAUGGUGGAUUUCAACAAUCUUGGUUACCUUGACGAACCAUUCGUCCUUGCCAAAGAUGUCGCUCAGGUUUUUUAUUUGAAGGACAUGAGUAGCAAACCGAGGAAACGGAAAGAUAAGAAAACGAUCAGUACAUCAUGCGAUGAUCCAAAGUGCCACAUUGUUCUUUCAGGGAAAAGAAACAUCGUGGGAGUGGAGGACAAGACAGACAUGUCAGAAGAUUAUAAUAUGUUUGGUGAAAUUCCGCCCUUCAAAGUGAACAUUGACCCAAGCAUUAAGUUAAAUGAUGAGGAUGCUCCAUGGAUACGGCACAAUCGUAAGCAAGCAGGGACACAAGGGAAGAAUUGAUGUGUAAUAAUUUAUUGUACCAAACUUUGUAUUUGGUCGAUGAACUGAAUGAUGUAUCAAACCUUUUGUCAAACCUUCAAGGGGUUUUAAAAUGAAUUAGUUUUAUUUUUCUGAUUUUUUUGAUAUAUAAUUGUAUUUUUAAGAUUUUAAAAUGAAUUAGUUUUAUUUUUCUGAUUUUAAAAGGAAAAAGGAAGAAGAAGAAAGAAGGAAAAAGGAAGAAAAAAACAGAAGAAAAAAACAGAAGAAAAAAGGAAAAACAGAAGAAAAAAACAAACAGAAGAAAAACAUAAGAAAAAAACAGAAGAAAAACAAACCCCCCGCCCUGCACAUGGGCCAUCCCGACCCCACAUAUGUUCGUCUCCAUCCGCAUCCCUGGCCAAACCCUAGCCACUCUACUCCAAGCUCUGUUCGGACAAUUUGUUUAUACGGAGAGGGGCGGCGAGGGGGGCGGCGAUGCGCGCGGUGUUUUUUUAGGGAUCGAGAGGGGACGGCGAGGGUUAUAAAUGUGUUGUCCUCGCCUCCCCUCUCCGUGACGCCGUCGUCUGCCGCCCCGUCUCGCGCUCUACCGCGACACCCUCUCCCACCCCUUCCUCGCCCCCUCCUUUCGCCACCGCCCUUUCGCCACCGCCACCGCCACCGCCCCCCUUCUUCACUUAAUUAAUUUGUUUUUACUACAUGUUUUCAGGACUGACAUAAUGGCGGACGAUAGAGCUGACCCGAUUAUGGACAACUAUGAUCCGGACGGUGAAGCACAUAUGUUCGGCAUCAUAAACGGCGAUAUUCUAUAUGUGCCGACCGGAGAAGAAGAAGAUGAUAUCUCUUCUUAUCUGAACCUUGACGGUGAAGAUGAAGGGCGCCGUCAGCAAGAUGAUGCCGAACAAACGUCGAUAAACGACGAUCUUCAAAUGGAAGUAGCAACCACCUCCGGCGCCGAGGUAUAUAUAUACAUUGAGCCUCUGGUGAUACAAACUAACUGAUUUGAAUAAAUAUGUGUGUACUAACGCGCGCGACUCUCUUUCUUAUUUUAGCCCUCGGCCGGAUCGUCGAAACAAUCGAGUACGCCGUCAAAGCGUGGCGCAACCAAGACGAUGAAACAAGGAGAAACAUGCACCAUCGAGGUUGUCGACAGUGCAACCGGCAGGCCGCUGGAGCCCCGCAAGAACGCCACCAAGUUUGUCAGCCAAUGCGGAGCCAUUGUUAGAGACAACGUCUCGAUCACCGUCCAGGAGUGGAAUGAGCCAAAGAAGGCACGAAUUGAUGGUUUCACUUUUGUCGAUAAGAGAACAAAAAAAGAUUGCUUCAAGAAGCUUAUGGAACAUUUCGUUCUACCUCCGGAAUACAACAAAUUCGAUGAGGAGGGUAACAAGAUUGAGGAAAACAAGGAGAGGAGGAGGCUAGUCAAACAGUUCGCUCUUCAUAAGAUGGCCGACGCAUUCCGGAAAUUCAAGCAAAAUCUAGCCCAUGACUUUGUCAAGCAGAACAAGACUCCGGAUUUCAAAGGACAAUAUGAGAAACUGAAACAUGAUUGGCCAGAAUUUGUGAAGCAAAAGAAAUCGGAGCAGUUCAUUCAAAUAUCGAAAAAAAUAAGGAAAAUGCGGCUAAGAAGGAGUAUAAUCAUGUUAUGGGGCCAGGAGGGUAUCGCAUUUGGGUGCCUAGGUUGGAGACGAUGGAGAACGAGCUGAGGGCGCGAGGAAUCCGUCCAGGUACGGAGGGAUGGGACCCAAGGGCCAAAAGCUGGUGGUACGGGCAUGGGGGAACGCUGAACCCGGAGACAGGGGAGUGUGUUUACCGGGGCAAAUUAAUUAAACCCACCCAAGCCCUUAUUAACGCAAUGAGGGAUGCUCAACAGGGGAAGAUCAAGUUCAACAGAGAGAACGACGCGCUGACAAAAGCCCUCGGGAAUCCUGAACACGGAGGACGUGUACGAGGCAUGGGGCACAUUCCGUGGAAAAUAGGGUUCCCCCAGAACGAUGACCCGUACGGUUACAGAAGCCGUAAGAGAAAGAUGGAUCGGGAAGCAGAUGUUGUGGCGCGGUUGGCAUCGGAAAUGGAUGUGAUGAAGAAAACCAUGAGUGUACUAGUAGCCGAAAGAGAUGCAGCUCGGGUGCAGCAUGAAGAUCAUCCAGCGGAUCUCGGAAGCCANNNNNNNNNNNNNNNNNNNNNNNNNNNNNNNNNNNNNNNNNNNNNNNNNNNNNNNNNNNNNNNNNNNNNNNNNNNNNNNNNNNNNNNNNNNNNNNNNNNNUCUGAAAAAUGUCGCAAGGGAAAACAACAGAUUUCUCAUUGCGGGAGUGAGAGAAAGCGAGCAAGAGAGAGAGAGGGGGAGAGAGGGAGGGAGAGGGAGAGAGAGACGCCUUAGGAUUAACCAUAUUCAACACAUGUUUUUUAUUUUUUUGUGUGAACACCGAGGCCAUCGCCGGUGAGGGUGAGAAGGAGGAUAAGCGGCAAUACAAAUAUGAUGCCUCGCAAAAAUGAAGGAGAUGGACCUAUUAUGGUCUUGAGUGAUGGUUGUUGGGUUAAGAGUGUGUGUUAUGUUUUCUCUCCCGUUGCAACGCACGGGCUCUUUUGCUAGUUUAAUUCAUAAUCAUAUCCUUUACUAUAAGCGGAAUCAGGAAAUCAGGAGGUUUAUCAAGCCACACCCUUGACUCCUGACCCACGAAACUAAAACGAGCAAUAGUAUGAGAACACUCGUUUACAUCACGCACACAAUGAUUUAUUGUCGCCUUGCCGAAAGAACUCAUCAACCUUCGACAAUCGCCAGUAAUUACCGCACCUGACGCCCGGUAGUCAUCCGGAUUCUGGAUAGCUUGAACAAUCUCCAUAGAAUCACUAUCAAUGGACAAAGAAAAAAUGCCCAUCUCCUCAGCAAGUCGUAGUCCCAAUAAUAGCGCAAACGCCUCCAUCGUUGGAGCGUCCAUUGCAUUCGGUUUAUAUUCCAUGGCCGCUGCAACGAAACCUCCCUUCGAAUCUCGUAAAAUAGCACCACUUGCCCCUGCACCUGAGUCAACAUGAUAUGAAGCAUCAACAUUAAACUUUAUACAUCCUGAUUGCUGGUCUAGACCAUCUAGUCUGUCAUGGAGGAACUAGCUUCUUUUCUGUUACCCAAUUAGCACGAUACCCCUAAUCUGUAGAGACGAUCAUGCUGGCGUACCAAUCUCUUUAUCAUGGGACACUUGACGUCGUUCCCACCAGAUAUACCAACACGUAACCAUAGCCAAUUCCACUGCAUUUUCUCCCUCGACCGAGACACGACCAGGUAACCUGGAGCAUAUUAUCUCAUCAAGUAUCAAUGAACCGGACCUAUGCUGCUCAGCAAUUGCGGCCACAUUCGCGCCUAGGCCGAGUUCCUCCCAUACCUCUCUAGCUCCGCAACAGAUAAAUAACAUGUGCUUAAGGUCUUCAGGAUCUACCUUGCACACCAGACAAGUCAUUGGGGUUUUAAUGUGUAUGUUCACUAAAUUACAGUAACAUGGCACAAUUCCGUGUAGAGCUCGCCAAAUAAAAAUAUGUACUUUGGGGGGAUACUCAAAUCCCAAAGUAAUUUCCAUACCGGAUGUGACAUACUUCUUCCCACACCAGUAUCAAUACCCGCUCUAGUCUGAUACUCUGCUUUCCAUUCUGCAUGAUAAGCCAAACAGACAGUAAAUCUCCCAGACUUGCAUAAUUGCCAUGCUAUGAAAUCUAGUUGCUGUUGGGAUGGAAGCGGAAUUUGCAUAAUCCUUGCAACGUCAAUUGGCCAAAAAUUGUCAUGCACCAAUUGUACAUCCCACUCUCCCGUAUGUGGAUCAAUAAGAUCUUGUAGCGUCUCAAGAAGGCAAUGCCCACGUGGUGUCAUCACACGCCUAUCAUAGGGAGUAGGGAUCCAAAGAUCAGACCAAAUAUUAAUACUUGCCCCAUUGCCUGGUCUCCAAAUAGCACCUCUUUUUAGGGUCUUUAAUCCGGCCAUGAUACUACCCCAUGUGAACGAGGAACCUUUUUUAAGCACCGCAUUGGAAAGGUCCCCAUCUGGAUAAUAUUUCGCACAAAGUACCUGAGCACACAAAGACUCUGGUUCACUUAGUAGUCUCCAACACUGCUUAGCCAACAUUGCUUGAUUAAAACAGUGUAAAUAUCGGAAACCCAUCCCUCCUUCUUUCUUCGGAAUACACAUCUUCCACCAUGCUUUCCAGUGCAAUUUAUUUUGGCUCUGUGAACCUCCCCACCAAUACCUAGCAAUUGCAUCACAUAUACUCUUGCAGAUGUUCUUUGGCAAACUGAAAACUGACAUAGCAUAAACUGGAAUGGACUGCGCAACAGAUUUUAACAAAACUUCCUUCCCUCCCGCAGAGAGCAUCCUCGCAUUCCACCCAUCAAUUAGAGCCCACACUCUAUCAACCAAGUGUUGGAAACAAUCACUACGCUCAAUCCCCACAUGAAAGGGUAAUCCAAAAUACUUAUCCGUCAUUGCCUCAACCACAAUAUUUAGUUGUGUACAAACUUCUUCCCUAUCCUCGACAGUAGUAUUUGGACUGAAAAAAAUACUGAAUUUUGCAUCACUAACCAACUGGCCAGAACUUGCACAAUACAUGUCAAGUGCAUUCCGGAGUGACGUGGCUUUUGACGCAUUCGCUCUCAUCAAGAUUAGAGAAUCAUCAGCAAAAAGUAGGUGUGAAAUUGAUGGUGCCCCAGACACACUCUAAUCACUUGGAUACCACCGAUCUCCUCCUCAUGCGCUAACAGACUGGAGAGUCCUUCAGCACAUAUCAAAAACAGAUAUGGGGACAAGGGGUCGCCCUGUCGUAGACCCCUUGUUGGAGUAAACAUCUCUGUCUCCUCAGAAUUAAACCAUACCCUGUAAUUUACACUGGUUACACAUGCCAUAAUCAUCUGUACCCAGGAAUCAUCAAAACUAAGCUUGAGUAUCAUAUCACGAAGGUAACCCCACUCCACUCGGUCAUAAGCCUUGUGCAUAUCAAGCUUUACAGUGCAUAACCCAUUAUUGCCUUGACGACGAUGCUUGAUUGCAUGGAAACACUCAUAAGCCACCAACACAUUGUCAGUAAUUAGCCUCCCCGGCACAAAAGCGCUCUGAGUCAUGGAUAUAAUAUCAGGGAGUAAUCCUUUUAAUCUAUUAGAAAGAACUUUAGCAAUUACCUUGUAAACCACGUUACAAAGACUAAUCUGCCGGAUGUGAGUAAUGCUUUCCGGUCCGUCCACCUUCGUGAUUAGAAUUAUAGUUGUAUCAUUCCACCCCUCAUGGAUCACCCUUGAAUUUAGGGCUGUCAACACCUCAUCGGUGAUUUGAUUACCCACCACAUCCCAACAUUUUUUGUAGAACACCGCAUGAAGACCAUCUGUACCAGGAGCUUUAUAAUCACCAAUAUUGAACAUGGCUUUUUUUAAUUUCCUCCCUUGUAUAUGGCUUCAACAGAGACUCAUUCAUCACAGCUGUUACUCUAGGCUUAACCCGAUGAAGCAAAUUAACAUCCGUACCCAACACCUCAGAAGUGAACAGCUGUUACUCUAGGCUUAACCCGAUGAAGCAAAUUAACAUCCGUACCCAACACCUCAGAAGUGAACAGGCCGGAGAAGUACGAUGAGAUUAACUCCUUUAAGUCUUCGUUAGUUUCCCUCCAUACUCCUGCAUUGUCCUUCAACUUGAGAAUGCAAUUUUUCUUCUUUCGCGCCCGAGCGAAAUUCUGGAAGAACUUUGUAUUCCUAUCACCAUGCUUGAGCCAAUUACUAGUGCUCCUCUGCAUGUACUGGAUCUCCUCUUGUUCUAGCGCAGUUUCUAUUUCUUUUGUGAUUUCUUGCCGCCGUCUAACCGAGUCAGCAUUCAUUGGGCCUGCCAACACUCGGUCCAACUCCUUAGUCAGGUCCUUCACUUUUUUCAGUGGAGCCUUCAACACGUCUCAGUCCCACUCAUGAAGAUCCUUGUGAAGCGCUUCGAGCUUAGUCAUCACCGGGACGCCCGGCGGUGCAUGAUCCCAUGAUGUUUGCACUAUAUCCCUGAAUUUUUCUUCCUUCAACCAUUUGCCUUCGAAUCUCCUACGUUUCCUAUCCUUCGAUUGAACAGUGGAGUAGGUUGAAUCCAUCAUGAUCGGACGAUGGUCCGAGUCUGUCAUUGUGAGGUUAUGUAUGCCAGCAUCCGGGAACCUAGCAGACCAACUAGUAUUUCCCAGUGCCCUAUCCAGGCGCUCAUGAACAUCACCUCUCUGCCAUGUAAACUUAUUACCAAUGUAUCCCAAAUCAUCAAGCUGACAAUCUGUCAAACAAUCCCUGAAAGCUUGCACAUACUUCAGCGGUCUCAUCCUUCCGCCCUCCUUCUCAGGAGCAUAAGUAAUUUCAUUCAGGUCUCCCAUAAUAAUCCAAGGCAAAUUCAGUUGCGCAUGGAGAUCUCGCAAUCUCUGCCAAGUUCGGUGCUUGUUCCUCCAUACAGGUUCACCAUAGACUCCUGUAAUCCUCCAAUCCAUACUCGGCUCAGCUCCCUUGACUAUCACAUCAAUAAAAUUAGGUUGAGCAAACCUUAAACUCAGACUAACAUGUUGCUUACUGAACAUAAUCAUACCACCACUUCUUCCAUUGCUUGGUGAAGUAGAAAAAUUGUCAAAUCCCAGUUUCACACGUAACCUCUCUCCCCCCGGACCAUCAAGAUGUGUCUCGGACAAGAAGAGAACGUCGGGACCAUGCUGCCGAACAAGCUUCAGCAGCGAACGAAUUGCCGAGGGCGAUCCCAACCCUCGACAAUUCCAGCAUAUGAGCUUCAUUGCAAGCGGCGGUCCCCCUCGAAAGGGGCCGCCAAACCAGAUGUAUCAUCAUCCAUAAUCUCUCCACGUGAUCUUUGUAUAAGUGAGGAUGACACAAGGGCACAAGGCACCAUCAACACCGGAAAUUUUUUUGUGCUCCCGGGAGCGGGCCCUCCUGCGUGCGAUUUUUAUUUUUGAAAUGCCAAAAAAAAUUAAAAAAAAUUCUAUGUAUUCUUUGUCACAUCCAAAUGCUACAUACAAAUUUGUAGGCAAAAAGAUAAACAUUUUAGCCUGUGUAGAAAAACAAAAUAAACAUCAAAUGUUACCCUAAAUUUGUUUUUUCACUGGUAAAACAUCGCUGCUCCAUUUCGCAUACAAAUUUUCAAGGAUGCUUAUGACACUAACACGAACACCUGCAAAAAAAAUCAUUUUUUUAAAAACAUUGAAUGUUUUUUUGUUUACUAUUUAACUUUAACCGGACAUCUAAUGUACAUACAAGCUAAAUCUGUAUACGUUCCGAGAGGCUAACCGUGGGCAUUAAUUUUUAUACAAAUAUUUUUACACAUUGAAGCAUUUCGCCAGUACACACACAAAAUGAUUGGACUGAAGGAAAAAACGCACAGGAUGAGGCGCGUGCAAUAUGCCAGCAAAUAGAAGACAGAAGUUGCAUCCUGGAUCACCACUUGACAUAUGUGAACUCAGAGCAUAUACAGUCGAGCACAUCAAAAUUGACACAUCAAACACCCGCGGACGCGUACGGGCGUGUUCAUGGGUAUUUCUCAUAUUGGUGCAUCCACGGUCGUAUAUAUCAGUUUCGGUCCGCAUAUCCAUUUUUGUUUUUGCAAAAUCGGUCCUCGUAUCCAUGCAACACAUGCAACGUAUGAAAUUAACUUAAGUAGAUCAACAAAGUAGCAACAGACUAGGAGCCAAGUGAAGUGUCUGUCCCACGUACGGGUGACGGUUGGUACGUCCAGCGAUCACGGAGGCGAUCUGCUCCCUCCUGAUUCCCGCUGUUCGUCCGCCCCGAGCGUUUAGAUCUGAUCGCCGGUGGGCGCCGUUGAGUGCUUCCGACGUCCCCCGGCGUGGCGUUUCUGCCCGCCCGUUGGGACUCCCCCGUCCUCCACUAAAAGCCUUUUGGGUGCUCCCUAGGGCACACGAUCGUAAAACACCUUCCUAGGGUUUCCGCCUCAAGCGCUGGUUCCGGGCCGCCAUGGAAAAGGUAGCGGGGCUGUUGGAGAAGAUGAAGUUGUCGAAAGAGGAGAGAAAAGGAGUGAAGAUCCGGUGGACGUCGCGGGCGAAGGAGAACAAGGGCGGGAUUCAGGCGGUGGGGAAGGUGUUGUCGGAGGGACCCGCGCACCCGGAUGCGAUCUCCCAGUCGCUAGGGAAGUGCUGGUGCCCCCUGAAGGGCGUGGACUACAAAGAGCUGGGUGAGAAUAUUUUCCUGUUCACCUUCAAACAAGAGUCAGGCAAGCGCAAAGCCCUGGAGGAUGGACCGUGGAUGUUUGAUAAUGAUCUCGUUGUGAUGGUGGAUUUUGUGUCGAGUAAGCGAAUUGAGCAGUACGUGUUCACAGAGGUUCCGAUUUGGUUCAGAGUCUGGUUUGCCGUUGGGGAAGAUGGGGGAGGAGAUGGCGGAGGAGAUUGGAAACCUAGUAGGGAAGUAUGUGGAGAUGGACUCUGGAGUGGAUGGCUCGGCGGUAGGAAGGUUUUUGCGCAUUAAGGUGCGCAUGCCGAUCAACAAACCGAUAAUGAGGGGGGUUUUGCUAGAUGAGGAACCGGAGAGCGAUGAGGAGAAUGGGCGUGAACACGAAGGAGAUGAUGAAAAGGAGAUGCCUUUCUGCCGGUUUGAGUGCGAGUACCUCCCUGACUUCUGUUAUAUCUGUGGAGUCGUUGGUCAUGUGGACAAAGGAUGUUCUACCAAACUGAUGAAGGGGGAGAAGGCGCAGUGGGCGCUGGUUGCGCGUUGACAUGGGAAGACGGCGUGGUUUAGAGGAAGGAAGGUCAUGGCGGAGCAAUCAGAGUGGGAGUGGGAGUGGCUCUGGGAGUGGGCGAUCUUUGGGAGGCGGGAGGCUGGCCGGUAGGUCUCGCAGUGAUAGCCUUAGCUGGCGAAAAUCUGACCCCAAGACAGGAGAGGUUCGGAUGGAGGAAGGAGAAGAGGUCAAUAGCCCUAGCAAAAUGUCUAAGGCGAGUAGAGGUGGGGGGCCGCAGAAGAGGCUAACCAUUCAAAUCAACGAUGAGAGUAAGGAGAUGCUAGACGGCAAUGCUAAUGGUGGGGGAGGGGGUCCAGGAGCGGAACAUGUGGUGGUGGAGGAAAAAGGAGCAGCUGUGGAGGUGGAGGUGGAAGGUGAGAAGGUUGACAGGGGGGUGGAGCACCAAUCGGAGAUGCAGACCGGGAAGGUAGCAGUAGAGGAGUGCGGGCUGGAGGUAAAUGGGGGAGGGAAGAGUAGUGGCCAUAUUCCGAAGAAAUACAAGAAGAUUAGAAGGGAAGGGCCGGGGAAGUCAAAGGAAGAUAGCAGGGUCGGCGGCAUGGUAGGGCAGAAGAGGAGUGUGGAGGAGGAAGAGGAGGAAAAUUUGAGAAAGAAGGGAAGAGUGGAAGAUGGGGGUGAGAGGACGGUCGGAGUAGCUGUGACGGCUGUACCAAACACGAUAUCGGCCGGGCUGCAAGAGCAGCCCCGCCGGACACAAUGAGGAUUGUAAGCUGGAACUGCCGGGGACUCGGGAAUGGCCCGGCAGUUCGUGGCCUCUUAGACCUUAAGAGGGUGGAGGAUCCCGAUGUUCUGUUCUUGUGUGAGACGAAGCUUUUGGAGAAGGAGUUGGAGCAAUACAGGUGGAAGCUAGGUCUGGCUAAUAUGUGUGCGAAGGACUCAGAAGGGAGGAGCCGGGGGGUGGCUAUUUUCUGGAGGAGGGGAAUUAAUCUCUCUUUGCGAUCAGUGGGUAGAAGGCACGUUGAUGCGGACAUAACGGAGGAGGAUGGGUCAACUUGGAGGAUUACUGGAGUAUAUGGGGAGUCGCAGUGGGGAAGAAAAAAGGAAACCUGGAGGACGAUGCACUUGCUCAAUCAGCAGCAUCAGGAGGGUAGGCCGUGGCUUUGCUUGGGAGACUUUAAUGAGAUCAUGUCUAAUGAAGAGAAGAGAGGGGGUGCGGACCGAUCGGAGGGGUGUAUGAACCAGUUCAAGGAGGCGUUGGAGGAGUGCAAGCUGAGUGACCUAGGAUAUGAGGGAGAUGUCAUCACUUGGUGGAACAAUUGUACACGUGCGGAUGGGUAUGUGUGUGGGCGUCUUGACCGGGCCACUGCCAACAUGGAAUGGUGCUCAAAAUUCCCGGAGUUCUGCGUUCGUAAUGAGUUCCCGAGGCAUUCCGACCACCGGCCAGUGGUGGUUGACACGGAGGAGAUGGGGGACAGGGGGCAGAUGGGUCGAGGAUGCCUUCGCUUUGAAGCCCGGUGGCUGAAGGAGGAGGGAUGUGACUUGGUGGUGGAGGAGGCGUGGAGAAGAGUACGUGAAGGAGGAGUACUGGAUGUGGCCACGGCCCUGGAGGGCGUGGCUCGAGAUCUAUCUAGAUGGAGCAGCGAUGUGGUGGGGGAUACGGAGAAGAAGCUGAAGGAGGCAAAGCAAGAGCUGGAAGAUUGUAGGAAGCGUGGUGUCACACCGGAGAAGGUGGCUGAGGAGGUGAUACUAAGGGUGUUGGUGGAUCACUUAGAGGAAGUUAUUGAUAUUAAGUGGAGACAACGAGCUCAUGUCUGGUGGCUGAAAGAAGGGGAUAGGAACACAAAGUUCUUCUUUCGUUAUGCCUCGGCGAGAAGGAAGGCCAACAGGAUACGGCGGCUCACGAGGGAGGAUGGAGUAGUUGUAGAGGAGGGAAGAGAGCUCACUAAUUAUGUCGUGUCUUACUUUCAGGACUUGUUCACCUCCAAUGGUGAGGGCCAAUUUGAUGAGCUUCUCCGGGUUGUUCCGGUGAAGGUGACUAGUGCUAUGAACAAUAGCCUUACUGCUGCAUUCACGGAUAUAGAAAUCAAAACAGCCCUAGAUCAGAUUGGAGAUCUCAAAGCACCGGGGCCGGAUAGCAUGCCAGCGGUGGUUUUCAAGAAGUAUUGGCAGUUGAUGGGCAAGAACAUCAUUGAUGAGGUCCGGUGUGUUCUGGAGGGUGGUGAGAUGCCGGUGGGUUGGAAUGAUACUCAUGUAGUGCUAAUACCUAAGACAAAAAACCCGUCACGGAUCAAGGAUCUCAGGCCCAUAGGUCUGUGCAAUGUUCUGUACAAGAUCAUCUCCAAGGUUAUGGCAAACCGACUCAAGCUUAUUAUGCCACAGAUCAUCUCGGAUAACCAAAGUGUGUUUGUACCUGGACGGUUGAUAACUGAUAAUAUCCUCAUGGCAUAUGAGAUCUCACACUUCCUGAUGAACAAACGGUCGGGGAAGGAUGAGUUUGCUGUGGUUAAAGUGGAUAUGAGCAAAGCAUAUGACCGGGUAGAGUGGGCCUUCCUUGAAGCAAUGAUGUAUAAAUUGGGGUUUGCGAGCAGCUGGGUCAAACUUGUGAUGAAGUGUGUUACUUCGGUAAGGUACAGAAUCAAAAUCAAUGGUGAACUCACUCAACAGUUUGUGCCUUCUAGAGGACUCCGGCAAGGCGACCCAAGCUCUCCAUAUCUGUUUGCUAUUGUUGCUGAAGGACUGUCGGCCUUACUAAAUGAGUCCCAACAGCGCGGUUCGUUCGGAGGCAUUCAAAUCUGCCCGGGUGCGCCAUCCAUCUCGCACCUGUUCUUUGCUGAUGAUUCGGUUCUCCUUAUGCGAGCACGGGCGGCUGAAGCUGUGGAACUGCAGCUUAUUCUCCAGGUCUAUGAGAGAUGCUCGGGGCAACGUGUAAACCAAGAAAAAUCUGCAGUCAGGUUCAGUAAAAACUGCUCUGAACAGACCAGAGGUAGUGUGAAAGGAGCCUUGGGAAUUGCUAGUGAGGCGUAUAAUGAGAAAUACCUGGGACUUCCAGUGUAUAUUGGCCGGUCCAAGCAGAAGGCCUUUGCUCAUCGGUGAAAAUCCACAUGCCUUCCAUAUCAGUGAAAUCAUUUUCUAAUUCCCAAUGAUAUUUUUAUUUUCUGGAGAUUGUCUUCGGCCUGUAAGGUUGCAUCACCAAGGUGGUCUGCAGCAUACUUGACACGUACGAGUGUGUGGUUAAGAUUGUUAUCUGCAAUUGUUGAUCCAGGAGUGAAAUUGGUAGUAAGUAGUAACUACUCCUAUAUGGUUAAGCUCUCUGAUCAUUGUCUGAUCAGUGCCCAAAUCGCUCUGCCAGUUGCUUCUUAGACAUUAUUAUCCCAUCCUUCUCUUUGAGCUCAUGUUCUAGUGAUUUGUUCUUCUGUUGCACUAACUGCAGUUUAUCAUAGUUGAAGUCUUGCAGUUCCUUUUUGUGGGAAAAAUCCAUGUAUCUAAGAGCUUCUGUGGCAAGACAGUCAUCAGCUUCUUCUACUUCUCCAUAUGCAUAGGCAUAUAUAAUUAUUUUUGACGUUUCAUACAUAGGUGCAUAUUGAUUUCUUGUCUCAGAACCUACUGUCCUUGCCUUGUGUGUUGAAUAAAUAGGUUUUGGAAGCCCAAGUUGCUGCAUCAUAGCGUGUUUGUUGGUAUUUUAAUCUUUUGCAUCAUGGUAACCAGACACUGUAAUAAAGAACAAAUGGUAACUUAUUUUUAAAACUGAAACCAGAAUUUGAUUAUAGGCAAUGCCGGGACAUUACUACAAAGAAUAAUAAACUCAAAUUAAUAACAAGCAGUCAGGCACACAGAGACAAUAUAAAUUUACAAAAACUGUUGAUGGAACUUUAACCGGUUAUUACAUAGCAACCAUAAGAGCUACUCCCUCCGUUCGGAAUUACUUGUCACAAAAAUGGAUGUAUCUACAACUAAAAUACAUCUAGAUACAUUCAUUUCUUGGACGAGUAAUUCCGAACGGAGGGAGUAGAUGUUAAGGAAGGAACUGUUGCCUUAUGGCUGAAUGAAAGUAUGCAGCCAUCUUUUAGAGUCUACAUGAUGGAAAACAAUCAUAAAUUAAGCAUAUAACAGUAGAAAAAUUAAAGUAUGAAACCACUGUGACAACCAUAAGAGCUAGAUUACGCUGGAUGGUCCAAUGGUAUUUAUAAUGAAUGGAAAUAGUCACAGGAGACAGAAAGCAGAGAGUAGCAUCGGUUAUAUUUACAACGCAUGGAAAGUAUCUUGUAUCCAUCUCCGACAAGUAUUUCCGGACAAAGGGAGUAGUAGCUUAGUUCAUAACCUAAGUAGGAUAGUUGUAUCAACAGUAGGCCGACAAAGGUCUUUUGUCAAAGCCUCGUCUUAUAAACAAUGAACGUAACACAGCAAGUGCAUAUGCUCAAAAGGGUGCGGAGGCAAUGAAUUUGAUUCCUAACGAUCUUCAUGCUGCUGUGACGACAGGCAUAGACGAAGGAAUCUGUCUCGGCAACACAACCACUAUGAAGCUCUUCCAGUCUAAGCCACAAGAGGUUGAACUGAAAGAGAUAGUGAAAUCUGUAAGGUAGUUGCCACAUGAUACUUAUGAUUAUAGAAGAAAGGAUUGAGAUAGCUAUGGGCAUACCGUACACACACGCCUACCCUUAGGGAUGAUGAAGUACAAUGCCUUGCCUUUUCGGUGAGCUCACUUCAGAGACAGUACAAUGCCUUAGGACGCCUUACCCAUUUUGCUCAGACAGUACAAAUGUCAUGGCACAAGUGGUAAGGAAUUAUUUAGAUGCAACUGAGGUUCCUACCUUUUAGCCUUGGCUUGGUCAAGAUCGGUUAAUUACAAGAGCUUGUCCUUUUCCUUUCAUUGCAGAUAUUGGUGUAUUCAUCUGUUUAUAAUGUACUCCCUCUGUAAAGUUUGAUAAGAGAUUGAGGGAAAUUCCGACAGCGCCCAGCAAUUUUUGAAUUUGAAAAUCAGGAUCCUCGCCCAGCAAUUCGCGCAGCCCGGCUCAUUGCCGCCCAGCGCCACCCAGCAGCUGGGCGAGCAAAUUCAUCCAACCUUUCCAGCGGCACCCAGUGCCUCGCCACACCCAGCACCUCACCGCCCAGCGCCCAGCCGUCUAGCCAAUCGCCUCGAUGCUCCUGCUCGCCCAGGGCCUCGCCCAGCACCUUGAUGCGCCCGGAGCUGCUGCUCGGCCAGCGCCUCACCUCAGCUGAGUGCGGAGAUCCUGCUGCACCGGCAGCUCCUCCCAGAUAUGGGAGAUGGUGCUCCGAGACCUAAAGUGCACUCCUCCUGCAGUAGAAUUAGAAGCACAUGAUGUGCAUAUGCUCCAAGAGGAAGCAUCAGCGGAUGACAAUAUACGCCAAGAAGCAGCAGCAGGAGGUACUCCUUAUACAAAUGAGAACAAAUUCACUGUUCAAUAAUUCAAAGUUACAGUUCAAAAUCACAUCUACAGUUCGAAAAUUGAAAGUACAGUUCAUACUUCAAGGAGUAGUUCAAAAUUUACAUCUACAGUUCAUAUUGCAUCGUGAACAGGGAGUGAUAUUCAAGUGCAGUUCAUCUACUCGACACAAAAGUAAUUAGAACUGGAGUGUAAUUAAACAGGAGUAAUUAGAACUGGAGUACUCCAAACAACUGGAGUAAUUAAACUCAACACACUGUUUUUAGUGUGCCCCUGUAAUUAAAAUUCUGUAAUUAAGUGUAACUCACUGAUAAAAUUCACUGUACACCUGACUAAUUCUCAUUCUACUCGACUGGAGUACCUGAUUCUGAUUCUCAUUUUAAUAGUUUUGCAAGGAAAGCAUCAAGCCUGAUUUGAUCCUCUAAGUGUCCUCUAGCCAUAGUUUAUAUAAACUGUACUCUAGCUUUAAUUUAGUCUAACUUUAGUUUCAGAACUGUAGUUUACUCUAGUUUCAGAACUGUAUCUUGAACCGUUGUUUACUUUAACUUUAAUUUCAGAACUAUAGUUUAUGUGAACUUGAUCCUGAACAAGUACUCCUCUAGUCCAGCAAAUUCAGCAAGUACUCCUUCCUCUGAACUUGGAGUAAGUUCAGGAGUACUUACUCUCUGUAGAAGUCAUUUGUUUUGAACUUGAGUAUAAAUUUUGCAGUCAUUAGUUUACUCUAAUUUCAUAAUUAUAGGUUCAGGAUUACUAGAGUGCUAGGCCUGUAACUUUAUUGAACUUGGAGUAGGCAGAUCAGGUGUAGGCAGGUUUAAAAAUCAGCAUGUAUCCCAGUUUGCAUACUCAAGUCGCAAGGAGUAUAAAACAUGCUAAUUCAGUGCAAAUUUAUUUAUUCGGAAGGGGAGCCUUAGCGCAGUGGUAAAGCUGCUGCCUUGUGACCAUGAGGUCAUGGGUUCAAGUCCUGAAAACAGCCUCUUACAGAAAUGUAGGGAAAGGCUACGUACUAUAGACCCAAAGUGGUCGGACCCUUCCCUGGACCCUGCGCAAGCGGGAGCUACAUGCACGAGGUUGCCUUUUUUUUCCGUGUAUAUCCAGUUUGCAUACUCAGUUUGUACUCAUAAAACAAGUGACCUGAAACAGGUUUAAACUUGUUUAAAUUUGGAGUAUGAAAACUUGUUUAUCCAGUGUAAACUUGUUUAAAUUCAGUGUAUAUUAAUCCAGGACUACUCGGUGAAUACUCAGGAGUACUCUAAAAACUUGCUGAAAUUCAGUUUAAUUAAACAGGACUGUUACUAACGAUCUAGGCCACACAAUGUUGCUCCUUCAAGAAACUUAAAGUUUAAAAAAGAGAUCCAUAUAUAGCACAAUGCAAAUAAGCAUGAGUAAUUGUAGAGAUGAGUAAGCAAGAUUACCAGAGUAAGCAAACAUGUGUAACACUAUACAGAAAUGUAGGGAAAGGCUACGUACUAUAGACCCAAAGUGGUCGGACCCUUCCCUGGACCCUGCGCAAGCGGGAGCUACAUGCACGAGGUUGCCUUUUUUUUCCAUGUAUAUCCAGUUUGCAUACUCAGUUUGUACUCAUAAAACAAGUGACCUGAAACAGGUUUAAACUUGUUUAAAUUUGGAGUAUGAAAACUUGUUUAUCCAGUGUAAACUUGUUUAAAUUCAGUGUAUAUUAAUCCAGGACUACUCGGUGAAUACUCAGGAGUACUCUAAAAACUUGCUGAAAUUCAGUUUAAUUAAACAGGACUGUUACUAACGAUCUAGGCCACACAAUGUUGCUCCUUCAAGAAACUUAAAGUUUAAAAAAGAGAUCCAUAUAUAGCACAAUGCAAAUAAGCAUGAGUAAUUGUAGAGAUGAGUAAGCAAGAUCACCAGAGUAAGCAAACAUGUGUAACACUAUACAGAAAUGUAGGGAAAGGCUACGUACUAUAGACCCAAAGUGGUCAGACCCUUCCCUGGACCCUGCGCAAGCGGGAGCUACAUGCACGAGGUUGCCUUUUUUUUUCCGUGUAUAUCCAGUUUGCAUACUCAGUUUGUACUCAUACAACAAGUGACCUGAAACAGGUUUAAACUUGUUUAAAUUUGGAGUAUGAAAACUUGUUUAUCCAGUGUAAACUUGUUUAAAUUCAGUGUAUAUUAAUCCAGGACUACUCGGUGAAUACUCAGGAGUACUCUAAAAACUUGCUGAAAUUCAGUUUAAUUAAACAGGACUGUUACUAACGAUCUAGGCCACACAAUGUUGCUCCUUCAAGAAACUUAAAGUUUAAAAAAGAGAUCCAUAUAUAGCACAAUGCAAAUAAGCAUGAGUAAUUGUAGAGAUGAGUAAGCAAGAUCACCAGAGUAAGCAAACAUGUGUAACACUAUACAGAAAUGUAGGGAAAGGCUACGUACUAUAGACCCAAAGUGGUCGGACCCUUCCCUGGACCCUGCGCAAGCGGGAGCUACAUGCACGAGGUUGCCUUUUUUUUUCCGUGUAUAUCCAGUUUGCAUACUCAGUUUGUACUCAUAAAACAAGUGACCUGAAACAGGUUUAAACUUGUUUAAAUUUGGAGUAUGAAAACUUGUUUAUCCAGUGUAAACUUGUUUAAAUUCAGUGUAUAUUAAUCCAGGACUACUCGGUGAAUACUCAGGAGUACUCUAAAAACUUGCUGAAAUUCAGUUUAAUUAAACAGGACUGUUACUAACGAUCUAGGCCACACAAUGUUGCUCCUUCAAGAAACUUAAAGUUUAAAAAAGAGAUCCAUAUAUAGCACAAUGCAAAUAAGCAUGAGUAAUUGUAGAGAUGAGUAAGCAAGAUCACCAGAGUAAGCAAACAUGUGUAACACUAUACAGCAAGAUCACACAUGUUCAGACAACAGCACCUCUGGAGUACCUGCAGGUAGAGAAGCAAGAAGUGUGGUGAGUGUACCGCCGUCGAUGCAGCAGGGGAAGAUGGAGGCGCGCAUGGACGAGCCGCCGCAGCUUGAACGAGGAACCGCCGCCAGCACAAGGGUGACGACGCCGUGAACGACCCAGUGCCUUGAAGACGAGCCCGCCACCUGUCGUUGCCGAAGCCUCUCCUUGCCUCUCACCGCAGCUUUCUCUCUCUCUCACGUAUGUAGAAGAAAGAAGGUGGAAGAACAAGAAGCACACAACAAGCUUUACCCGGCGCACGUACGCCGCCGGCCGCAGGAACGGCCGCUUGUAUUAUUUCCCUGAGCACAAACUCAGCACAUGAAACACACUGGCAGUCGUGACUUUGUAGUCCCACAGCGACGUAGCACCCACGGUUCCCUUGCGCACGUACGCAAGACCCGGCCACCACUAGCACAGCCGGCUCACCCACGAACCAACUAAUCAUUUUUUUAGCAUCAGUACAGACACAAGCGCUUAUAUACACGCGCAUACACUCAUCCCUAUGAACGCACACACGCACACCCUACCCCUAUGAGCACCUCCGAGAGACUGAGCCGGCAUAUCAUCUUGAGAUUUACGAAGCCACCAUAGGCGCCUCGUCAUCGACGGAAACGUCUCCUCCCACUGAAAGCGCAUCGCCGGAAAUCCUGAAAUAAGUCCAGGAAUAAUGCGAGCACCAGGAUUUAAACCCUGGUGGAUUGGGGAUACCACUGUCCACCUAACCAACUCAACCAACUAAUCAAGUCCUACAUGCAUGCAUGUCCAGCGAUUGUGCAGCUCCACUAACGGUCACACGACCUGCCAGUGGCUAACUAACUCGGUGAGUCAUCCACACACAACGCCGGCUAACUAACUCACUCAUGCAUGCAACUAGACUCAGUGCCCACGCAAAGCCCGCCCCGGGCUCCUCAGCUCCCGCGCCCGCCGCACGCACGCCAAUAGGACGCGACUGGUUCCAGCGCCCGGCGCGGCCACACCCCGCACGUCUGUCUAAUUUACACACACACGCCCACCACGCGGUCCGACGCAUCCGACGCGUCCAGUGCGCGCCCAUACACGCACCAGCCGUGUCAAGCUCGUCGCCACGGCUUAUUACACCCAACACCACCACGUCGCCUGCACCUCACUCCCCUGCCCCUGCUGGGGCUUCUUCACGCGCUACUGCUGCAUCUUGACCUUGGAGUCGACGCAUGCAAUUUAGCUGCCGUUGAGGACAAUGCCAUCGACAAAGAGGACUGAACUGCGGCUCAUCCUUGCAGAUCUCGGCCGUGACCUAGAUGGCAUAGGUGUUGGAACUUCGUCCACAGAAUCGAUCACAUCAAAUCACGAUGAACACGCAGACGCAAAAACUUUGGUUAAAGGCACGUGUCGUGCCUUUCUUUUCCCUCUUUUUAUUUUCUGUUUUCUUACCUCGCGGUAUUACGUGCAAAACUUGCACGGGGCUGUCCAUAUAUAUAUAUAUAUGCAAGUAGCAGCCACCGUCCUGACAAGACCUAAACCUACACGGGCGUACAAACCACGACCAACUCCAAUUUGACUCCAAUAGCUCAUUACUACUAGGACUUAGCUGGCCUAAACUAGGACACGGCCAGACUCCUAAACGAACUCAGAUUAACUACUAGUACGUAGACAACUACUACGUACAAGACUCUGACUCAUAACCUAACAAACUCAAGAUUACCCUAACAAUCUCUUCCUACUCUUGACUCUUGUCUUCUGUGCUCCUCUGGACUUGACUCGCUGAUGAUGCGCCCCUUGUCUGACUCAUCUGCUCGCACCACAACAAGGCAAAUUGCCGGCUAGAUUGUUGCCAACAGUAGGCGACGGGAUGCGGCGUGCUCCACCUUGAAGGCGACGCGGAGCUCCUCCUUUGCAUGUGACGCGGAUAGCCGGUGUGCCGGCGCUCCUCCUCGACAUCAAUAAAAAACCAACUUUGGCUGGACCUAGGUGGCGUAGGUGGCCUAGCCUUCUGAUAGUAACAGUGCAAAUGAAUUCUUUCCGCUACAUGAAUGGAACAACAUUAGAUCCCAUAGUAGGAAUGCCUUGAUAGCUAAGGAAGACCUUGAAAACAAAGAACAGAACAAGCAUACCUCAUUGUCAAAAGGGUCAAGGGCAAGAAGCUCUCCAACAGUACUUUCAACAGGAGGUUCACGAACAGGUGUUGCAAUGAUAGCCUGUUCUCCUUGGACAUUAGCAGUCACAGGAGCAAUGCCUUGUCCGAGGCUGCGGGAGAAGAUGAUCCAAGGUAAUGAGAAACAACAACAAUCUAAAUAGGAAACAGUGGGCAACUCAUAGAAAAGAAGAAGCACCUAGCACGAAAUGCAUUUAGCUCUGGAAAGUCCUCAUCAAUAUACCAACGGCAUGCGGAGCUGCCACUUAGGCCUUUAACACCUAUGGGAACAGACAAACCAUUACAACAAACGUUGAUCACAGGAUAUAGCAAACGGAUGUAGCAUCGGGGUACAGACAGCAGAAUUACCAUGGUAUGCUUUUGGCAGUGUCCCUACAAAGAUUGCAAUCACAGGGCCUGCUUCACUUGUAGCGCGAACCUCUUCAGCACUGAACUCGUUUGCACGCUCACCCCAAAGAACAAGGUUUAGUUCAUGACCGCUACAUUUAGGCAAUGGCGAGUGAGUAAAGUGUGAAUAGCAAAGCACAAGAGAAACAAAUAUAAAACAAGAAGAGAACUUACGACUGAUCUUGGAGAACAACAGUCCUGGCAUCUGAAAGUUGUGCCUUAUAUCUUAAACGAAAAAGGGUUUCCCCCGCUUUGUAUUCCAAAGCAAACCACCAUUAUACAUAUCACAAUGCUGGGGCGAGCAGCACAUCAGGCCCAAAGAAAAAGGGAAAGAAAUAAAUGCCAACAGCGGCAGCUCGACAAAGCGAGGCAGACCCGUGACCGCUGCGCCCUCCGGAUACAAACCACCACAGCCCGAGGCUCCGAUCUACCGCGAACUAAGCAGCACCUCCAAGAAGGGAUGCGACGCCGACGACGCUGCUGUCCGAACAAGUCCUAGAGUUUCCCCAGUGCGCGGAGGGAGGUGGGGGAUAGCUACUCCCGACACCCUCCAAGAAGGGAUAGUGGCACCCGUCGGUGUCACCGCAUCGGAGCCGGACGAACUUGCAAGGAUUUCUCCCGCACGCCAAACCCCACCGGCCAAUCGGAGCCGGCCAGCCAAACCACCGCCCAACCAUGCGCCAUCACGGUUGCGCCGCCACCAACGCUGGCUCGCUGCGAGCAACACCACGAGGUCAAGAAGACCAGAGAGAAGAUCCAAGCGACGGGAGCAGCAGCACCGAGGCGGAGCGGGAGGGAACAACCUCCACCGCCAUCGUGCGGGAGGCUCGUGCCUCCGGCACUGUCGCGGUAGCCGUCCGGACACAGCAGCGGGCCAUACCAGGCCUCCCCUGGCCCGGCCAGGCCCGAAAUGGGCCUGCUAAGCCCCGCGGGCCACGCUGCAGCAGGCUGGCGUCGACGCCACCAGCCCCCGCCGAUCAUCGCCGCUCGCCACCACUUCCUGAUGGCCACGCCAACGCCACGCCUGUCGCCGGCCAGAUCUGGGCCGGGCGGGCGCCGCCAACGGCACCGCCACCGCCCAGAGCUCGCCCCCGUCGCCGCAGGAAACCCCGCCACAGCACAGGACCGCCGCCACCUGAAGACACCGCCCGGAGCGCUCCGUCCCGCGCCGGAGAAACCCUAGAUGGGUAAGGGCCGGGGGCCACCGCCGCCGACGUCGCCCGGGCCAGGCCCGCGGCUGGCGCCGGCGAUGGCGGCAGGGAGGAGGAGGAGAGGGGGGAGGGCUCGCGGAGAAGGAGGGGAGGUGCGGCCGGCUGCCCGCGGGGGCGGCGCGGUCGCGGUCGGGAGGGGGCUAGUCAACUUAUGUGUUUCCUUAUUAUAUCUUUCACCGUAGUGAUUCGCCCGAUCACAUCUACAAUGAAGAAAAUCAAAAUGAUGCGAGAUAACAAAAGGUUGAAGCGUGAGAAUGUAUGCAUAGGAUCAGUAUAAGAUGACCAACCAAGGAAACGAGGAUUGUUGCCACCUGGCUUUGGGAUAUUUGCAAAGGAUGUGAGGUUGUAGGUGCAGUAUGGGUAGUCAUCCUCAAAGCCUUGCCGAGGAAUAAUGUCACUAAACCGAGUUAGUUGCAUCAUGUAUGGGCUCUCAGCAGCCUUGUAGGUUGUCCUUGAUGGAUUGCAGAGAAAUUUCUUCAUCAAGUAACCCUUCCCUUCUUCCAGCACAUCUGUGAAGCAGUUCGCCGUUUCAGGAGGAAGCCGGCCAUACAUGUAUGUGGGUGCCCUUCACAUAGUGGUUGUAUAGGUGCCACAUAACCAAGUCAGAACCAGCAGGUGACAAAGAUAUAGCAGAAGGAAAUACAGUGUCCAACACAACCAACCUCUUGGUCAAGCACCACAAGGUCAGUAUGUAUGACAGGACCCACAUCAGUUCCACCACGAUAUUGCCAUAUGCGUGAAACAGGAAACAUAAACAUUCCAAUUAUUUUUCCUUAUUAUGUAUCUGCGAGAGAAGGCUGAUCUUAUUCUUUGCCAUCUGCAGUGGAAAAGGAAAAUGUCAAAAGAUAGACAGAAGGAAUAAACAGAAGGAAAACCAUAUGCACGCACUUGCUAUGACAUACAUCAAAAGGCUAACAAAUAAACAGGGAACAAAGCAAACAUACUGUGCAGGUGCUUGCAAGAGACCACCCAGACAAAAGAUCAUAGGCACAAAAGAUGAUCCAUAGUAAGCAAUGAACAUCUAAUAUAAGUUAAUAUUUGUAAGCAAGGUUUUUGAGUCGCCGAGUCAAGCCAAGUCGCCGAGGCUGCGGCUAGUGGCUUGCUGGCUUGAGUCAGGGACUUGGCUUGAUUAGUCGCCCCAAGUCGCCAUGGCACAACAGUACAUAGAGCAGCAGAGCACAUAGAUAUACAGCAGCAGCAGAGCACAUAUACAGCAGAAAAAACGUACUACAUCUAAGCGGAGCACAUAUAGAGCCCACCCUGCGCUAUCUUUCAUAUACUACAUCUAAGCAGAGCACAUAUAGAGCCCACCCUGCGCUCUCUUUCCUUCGGUCCUCCUCCUUCCCCACUUCCCACAUGAUGACAUAUAUAGCAGCAGCAAGCCACGCGAGCCAGCGAGUCGCGCGACUAAUCACACCAAGUCGCCGGCGAGCCACGCGAGUCGCGCGACUUGCUCCCUGAGUCAAGUCGCCUGCGCGAGCCAGCCAUGCCGCGACGACUUGGUGAUUAGUCGGCGACUCAAAAACAGAGUUUGUAAGGCAACAAACCGCAAGGGGUGAGUAUGUACCAAAAGUCAAGAGCGAUAAGACAGAACUAUUUGAAAGGGCAGAUAUCUAGAAACAAAAUUAUAUACUGUAUAUAGCAUGUAUCAUUAUUAAUAAGGCCUAUGAUAUGUAUUGAAUCAUAUCAGGGAACACAAUGUUCCUUGUCUGAGAAGUUGUUUCACUGUCUUCAUCCUGAAUCAAAAUCUUCAGCGAUUUAAGUUGUCCAUGUGUGAACACAGUGUUAGACUGUAUAUACGUAGUCUUGUAUAGGCCUUGUAUUGUACCUCUUGGUACGUCUAAAUAAUGAGAUAGCCACACCCGGUUUUAGGGUGUUGAGCCAGUUUCCCAAACCCUAUGUUUAACAUGGUUUCAGUUUAGGUUACGAUGUCUUCCGCUGCACCACCUCCCACCGCCGCCGCGUCGAUCUCGACCGCCGCCGCCGCCGCGCCGGCUCUCGCCCCGAUGUCGCCCUUCCUGGCCUCCCGGCCCCUCGCGGCGACAUACAGCGCCAUGUCGCCGCCGCCCGCUUCCCCCCAAGCUUCGGGGUCUCAGGACGAUCUGGUCGCCCCGCCCGAGUCCGCGGCGCUGCCGGCUCCCGGCGGCCCUCCUCCGCCGAAUUCGCAUCCGUGGUACGGCGCCCCCGCGUCCUCCUAUGGUGCGCCCCCGCCGCCAUCGUCUCUAUGGCCGGGGUCGGCCUAUGCUGCGCCGCCGCCACCCUACAUGGCGGUGCCCCAUCCGCCGCCGCCGCACCACUACUACCUGGCGCCGCCGCAGCCGUCCUAUGGGGGCGCGGCCACCUCGCCGUAUGGUGCCCCUGCAGCGCCCGUCCAAGGUGCUUCGGCUAUUGCAGGUGCUGGUCCCUACGCCGUGCCCGGCCCCUACGGCCCUCCUGCAGUGCCCUGGCUGCCGCCUCUGCCGGAUCCUACUCCUCGCCUGGCGCCUACGCGAUGAUCCCUCGUCCAGAGAUGCCCCGUCCAUGGAUCCCUAUGCAUCACUGGCGCAGGCGUAUACUACUCAAACCGCGCCGCCGCCGUUUUAUUUCUCGCACCUGCUGCCGAUGAAGCUCGGGCCGGACAACUACCUGUCAUGGCGUGCUCAGGUCUUGCCUAUACUCCGCAACCGCUACUUGGAGGGCUACGUCGAUGGGUCCAUCCCGUGCCCACCCCCUCACCAUCCGGCAUAUCACAUGUGGGUGGCGCAGGAUCAAGCCAUUCUCUUCGCCAUUCAGUCUUCGCUCACGCCGAGUGUUUCAUCGAUGGUCAUCUUCACCGCUACGUCCAGGGAGGCGUGGGCGGCCCUCCACACAAAUUUCGCCUCUCAGUCUCAGGCGCGUGCGCACUCUAUACGCACCGAGCUGGGUGAGACCAAGCUUGGCGAUCUCAGCAUCACGGAGUACUUCAACAAGAUGACGAGCCUCGCUGACACCUUGGCCUCUGUUGGUCAGCCGCUUCAGGAUGAGGACUUCACCACCUUUGUGCUUUAACGGGCUCGAUGAUAAUUAUGACAAUCUCAUUGAGAACGUCCAUGGUCGAGAGGAUACACUCCCGCGUCGUGAGCUCUAUGCGCGCCUCCUUGGGCGUGAGCAGCGCAUCAAGGCGCUCUGUGUUUCCCCCAGCUUCGUCUCCGCCAACGCCGCCACACGCGGCAAACCUCAGAAGCCGGCCCCAUCAGGUGGCAAACCACCGGCUUCCUCGUUGCAGGCCUCGCGGGGCAACGCGCCGACCAUCACUGGAGGGAGUCGCCCAGUUGCUUGCUGUUCCAGUUGCGGUGCUCCUCAGGCUUGUCAGCUUUGUGGCAUAGAUCGUCACCUCGCCUCUUGCUGUCACAGAUGCUACAAGCAAGACUUCCUUGGCCUUGGUAACAAUGGAAAAGGGAAUGAUAAGCAGGCUGCAGCUGCUGUGACAGGGCACGAGCACGGGCGCACCCAGUCAUACUCUCUUGAUCCGGCGUGGUAUAUGGAUACAGGAGCGACGAAUCACCUCACCAGCGAGAUGGCCAAGCUCUCCACUCAGGAACCAUAUCGUGGACAUGAUUAGGUGCACACCGCCAACGGAGCAGGUAUGUGCAUCUCCCAUGUUGGUCAGGCAUCACUUCUUGCACAUAAUUUUCGCAAACUACAUCUUUCUAGUGUCCUUCGAGUUCCCUCUGCUACGCAUAGUUUGUUGCCUAUUCCUCAACUUGUGAUAAUAAUGUCCUUGCUGAGUUUCACCCUUUUCGUUUCUUUAUCAAGGAUCGGGACACUAGGGCCGUUCUGCUUAGUGGUUGUCUUCGCCAUGGCUUAUAUGUACUUGACGCACCGCCUGCAUCUCCUAUGCUGUCUUCUCCUUAGGUGUUCAGUGGUGUUUGUGUGUCGCCUACGCACUGGCAUGCGCGCCUUGGUCACCCCGCUGCUCCUAUAGUUAGUCAUGUGCUGCAUCGCCAUGAACUACCAGUUGUGUCCAAUAAGAGUGUUGAAACUAUCUGUGAUGCCUAUCAGCAGGGCAAGAGUCACCAACUACCUUUUUCAGAGUCUAGUCGUGUUGUGAAACAUUCUCUUGAGCUUGUGUUUUCUGAUGUAUGGGGUCAUGCCCAAACGUCCGUUAGUGGUCACAACUAUUACGUCAGUUUCAUUGAUGCUUACAGUCGGUUUACUUGGCUAUACCUUAUCAAGCGUAAAUCUGAUGUGUUUGAUGUUUUGAUUUAGUUCCAAGGACAGGUUGAGUGUCUCCUUAAGCACAAGAUUAUUCAUGUUCAAUCCGACUGGGGGGUGUUGAAUAUCACAACCUCAACUCGUUUUUAAAUAAGCUUGGGAUCUCGCAUCACGUAUCUCGUCCUCAUACACAUCAGCAAAACGGCACUGCUAAACGUAAGCAUCGUCAUCUUGUAGAGACUGGACUUACUUUACUAGUUCAUGCCUCCGUCCCGUUUCGGUUCUGGAGUGAUGCCUUCUCCACCGCCCAUUUCUUGAUAAAUAGGCUUCCCUCACGACCACUAAAAAUGAAAACCCCUCUUGAACUCUUGCUCGAUGAUAUCCCAGACUACAUGUUUCUCAAAGUGUUUGGGUGCAUGUGUUGGCCGCACUUGCGGCCGUACAACAAGCGUAAAUUAGAGUUUCGGUCUAAGAAGUGUGUCUUUCUUGGGUACAGUUCUCUCCACAAAGGGUACAAGUGUCUUCAUGUUCCCACCAAUCGUGUCUAUAUUUCUCGUGACGUCAUGUUUGAUGAGAAUGUGUUCCUGUUUCGUGCUCUUCCGAACCACUCUACCAUUAGUUUACCACAUGUGCACUCCGCUACACCUUCGCCUGAUCAAUUUGUGGAUGUUGCAAAUGCUCUUGUGUUGCUUCCUAACCAUGCUGCGGGUAUUGGACGUGGUGCCCGUCUUGAACUCCUGGAUGAUGAGGCUAUGGACAACACUCACGAUGGUCACGUUGAUCCGAUGCACGGCCCAUGCAUGGCGGGUCGUGCCCACCAGCCUGAUGCAUCCACGACCGCCCCGCGGGCGUCGGCAGCGCCCGCAGCUGCACCCGCCUCGGCCGCCCCAUCGCCCGGCUCGCCCGCCCCAUCGCUCGGAUCGCCUGCCCCGUCGCCCGGCUCGCCUGGCUCGCCCGCCACGCCACAAGCGUCGCCCUUGCCUGGCCCAGUGGCAGGCGGCCCAUCAGCCACUGGCCCAGCAGCCACUGGCCCAGCAGCAGGUGGCCUAGCAGCCACGGCAGCUGCAUUGGCCAGCCCCGCCUCGGCUCCUCGUGAGCCGGCUCUGUCAUCGGCUGGGCUCGGCAGCCCCGUCUCAGCCACGUCGCCCGGUGCUGAGUCCGAUGACUCUGGCUCCUCCAACCCCGUCUCAGCCACGUCGCCUUCGUCCCUUGUGGCAAGCCCCGGGGUGCCGGCGCCGCCCGCUGUGGUCCCUAAUCGACCACACACACGCUGCCGGUCUGGUGUUUUUUGCCCCAAGGAACGCAAAGACGGGACUGUGGCAUGGCUUGCCGCAUGUGUGGCUCAUGUUGCUGCGGAUCCGACGGCAGAGCCGCGUCAUUUUCAGGCUGCAUUGGGUAUUCCUCACUGGCGUGCUACGAUGGAGCCGGAAUUCCAGGCUUUGCUGAAAAAUGGCACUUGGCAACUUGUUCCUCCGCUCCCUGGCGUCAACAUCAUUGACCCCAAAUGGGUGUUUAAGGUAAAAAGACAUGCAGAUGGUUCUAUUGAGCGCUAUAAGGCACGGCUGGUUGCCAAGGGUUUCAAGCAAAGGUAUGGUCUUGAUUAUGAAGACACGUUCAGUCCAGUUAUCAAGCCUACUACUAUUCGUAUACUGCUGUCUCUUGCUGUUACUCGUGGUUGGUCUCUUCGUCAGCUUGACGUGCAGAAUGCCUUCCUCCACGGAGUUCUUGAGGAAGAGGUUUAUAUGCGUCAACCACCGGGUUUUGUUGAUCCUACACGUCCGCAUCAUCUAUGUCGUCUGGUCAAGGCGUUGUAUGGACUUAAACAGGCGCCUCGUGCAUGGCAUGCACGCCUUGGUUCUGUUCUCUGGGCUCUUGGGUUUAUUCCCUCCACUGCUGACACGUCCCUGUUCCUCCUUCAGCAUCCUGAGGUGACGAUGUAUCUCUUGGUUUAUGUUGAUGAUAUCAUCCUUGUCAGUUCCUCUAAUGCUGCUGCUGACCGCCUUGUGUCCGCAUUGAGUGAGGAGUUUGCUUUCAAGGAUUUGGGUGCUCUGCAUUACUUUCUUGGUUUGGAGGUGUCACGGUCCUCUACUGGGUUGACUUUGACUCAGAAAAAGUACUCCAUGAAUUUGUUGCGCCGUGCCGGGAUGCUCAAAUGCAAACAUGCUAUCACUCUGAUGUCUGCGACUGAUCGGUUGUCUGCCCUUGAUGGAGAUCUUCUUUCCACUGAUGACGCCAUUGAGUAUCGCAGUCUUGUUGGUGGUCUGCAAUAUCUCACUAUCACCAGGCUUGAUGUCUCUUAUGCAGUCAACCGUGUGUGCCAGUACCUUCAUGCACCUCGUACCACUCAUCUCUCGACAGUUAAGCGCAUUCUGCGAUAUGCCUCUUCCACUGCUUCGUAUGGUCUGCUGCUUCAGUCUGCACCGUCUUGUGACAGAACUGUUUUCCUCCAUCUUACAACUAUAGAACUUGUCGGGGACUUCAUAUCUCUCGACCCGAGCAUGAGCUUGAAAAACCAUUUUCAGCUCCUCGAACAUCUCAUAUGCUCCGUGUUUCUCAAAACGCUUUUGGAGCCCCGGUUCUAAGCUGUAAAGCAUGCCGCACUAAACGAGGGAGUAAUCAUCAGCACGUGACUGCCAAACGUUCAUAACGUCUUGGUUCUCUGGGAUGGGUGCUUCACCUAGCGGUUCAUCUAGGACAUAUGCUUUCUUGACUGCUAUGAGGAUGAUCCUCAGGUUCCGGACCCAGUCUGAAUAGUUGCUGCCAUCAUCUUUCAGCUUGGUUUUCUCUAGGAACGCGUUGAAGUUUAUGUUGACAUGAGCGUUGGCCAUUUGAUCUACAAGACAUAUUUUGCAAAAGUUUUAGACUAAGUUCAUGAUAAUUAAGUUCAUCUAAUCAAAUUAUUGAACUCCCACUCAGAUUUGACAUCCCUCUUGUCAUCUAAGUGUUACACGAUCCGAGUCGACUAGGCCGUGUCCGAUCAUCACGUGAGACGGACUAGUCAUCAUCGUAGAACAUCUCCAUGUUGAUCGUAUCUUCCAUACGACUCAUGUUCGACCUUUCGGUCUCUUGUGUUCCGAGGCCAUGUCUGUACAUGCUAGGCUCGUCAAGUUAACCCUAAGUGUUCUGCAUGUGUAAAUUUUUCUUACACCCGUUGUAUGUGAACGUAAGGAUCUAUCACACCCGAUCAUCAUGUGGUGCUUCGAAACGACGAACUUUAGCAACGGUGCACAGUUAGGGGGAACACUUUCUUGAAAUUAUUAUAAGGGAUCAUCUUAUUUACUACCGCCGUUCUAAGUAAACAAGAUGCAUAAACAUAAUAAACAUCACAUGCAAUUAUAUAAAGUAGUGACAUGAUAUGGCCAAUAUCAUAUAGCUCCUUCAAUCUCCAUCUUCGGGGCUCCAUGAUCAUCUUCGUCACCGGCAUGACACCAUGAUCUCCGUCAUCAUGAUCUCCAUCAUUGUGUCUUCAUGAAGUUGUCACGCCAACGACUACUUCUACUUCUAUGGCUAACACGUUUAGCAAUAAAGUAAAGUAAUUUACAUAGCGUUCUUCAAUGACAAGCAGGUCAUACAAAAAAUAAA